GGAUAUUCGCCGCUUGGUUCUCCGGGGACCUCGUUCAUUAAAAGUGAUGUACUCAAACAACCGAUUCUUAUUUCAGUAGCAGAAAAAUUACACAAGACACCUGCUCAGGUUGCUCUACGGUGGGGUCUACAGAUGGGUCAUAGCAUACUUCCCAAAAGUACAAGUGAAUCCCGGAUCAAAGAAAAUUUUGAGAUUUUUGACUGGUCAAUUCCUGAUGAUUUGUUCACUAAGAUCUCUUCUGAUAUCGAGCAGGUAUGGAUGCAUGCCAAAAGUAGUACAACUUGUUAUGUCUUGUUUUGUCUUGUCUUGUCUUGUCCUGUAUUGCAUAACAAAUGGGGUCUCAAGAACUUGUGUUGUUGUUUUUGCAGGCUAGGCUUCUGAGAGGCACUUCUUUUGUGGAUGAGACUCAUGGUCACUACAAGACACUCGAGGAACUAUGGGAUGGUGAAAUAUGAAUGUUGCAUGGUGUAGGAUUUUGCUUUCCAUGCUAUUCUACCUUACUCUUAACCUUUUAAGAUUUUCCUUAACCUUUCUUAAUGUUACGAGUGAAAUCUUAAACACUACUGGUGUGCAUUGUGGGAUGGAUGUUAUGUUUGUUUGUUAAUUUUCUUCCAUCUAUACAUUCCUAUUCCGGUGGUGAUUGUUAGUGUAUCCCACGUCGUCACGCUCGCUUAUGUCUUUAUAUAUGUUGGAGUUUUCUCUCUCUCUACUAAAGGGUUUUUUUUGGAAAGACAAUACUGGACUCCUCAUAUAUCUUACAAUGAUGUUGCAAGAAAUAGAUUUGCUUUUUCACCUUUUUUCUUUUCUUUCUAAUGUAUUCUUACUCAUUCUUAUUCUCAACAAUUUUAUGAAAAUUAACAUUUUACCCACCACCACCACCACCACCUCCAUCACUCAUCACUAUCGUCACCACCAUCACUUCAACCACAACUGCCACCACCACCAUUUAUUAUUUUUAUAAUUUAUAUAAUAUAUCUUUAGAUUUCGGAUGUUACCAAUGCUGGAGACUUUUUGGAUAUGAUAUUCAUUAUAGAACACCUCCUGUUGAAAGUUUGUCGUUUCAUCUUGAAGACAAACAACCUAUUGUGUUUAAACUAUUCCAACGUGUUACUAAUGUUGUUUUUAAACCCAUUAUUGCUGCUUUUCAUGUAACACCCAAAAUCAGAAAGGUCAAGAAAGAAAAGAAAACCCUAAGUUAAAGGGGUCGACUCGUCGAGUCCAAGGAGGAACUCGAUGAGUCGGAGCGGGAUCCAGGGGAUCGAGUAAGUGACCAACUCGGCGAGUCGGCUCGUGGACUCGGCGAGUUGGAUCUGAAGAGGAAAACCUUAAAUUCGGGACUUUGGGUGCUAUUUAAACUCCUUAUUCUCUCCAUUAGGGUUCCUUAGAGCCUCCUUUACACAGAAUACGAUCCCUAAGCCCCAUUGUUACACAUUCAAGCUUCCAAGCCAUUUUUGGGUGAUUUGAAGGAAAGAAGGAGGAGGGAAAUCAUUGGAGCUUCAAGGUUUGGUCUUAGAUCCAGAGUUUGUGGAAUCUUUCAGAGUUAUUGAAGGUACUAAGCCGUUUCCUUCAUUUAGAUCUAUUCUAGUUAUGAGUGUUGGGGCUUUUAAGCCAUGUUUAGAUAUCCAUUUGAGUUAGAAGCCAGAUCUGAAGUUGCUACUUCAGAUCUAAGCACAUUUUGGCAUUGUGAAACAUAAAGUAACUGUCCUUGAGUUGAUUAUAGAGCCUCUUUGCCUUAAACCCUAGUUUAUGGUGUGUUUGGCCUAGAUAUCCUUCUCUACAUGUAAAAUUUACAACUUUACGUGAGUAAUAGGCUUGGGAAGAGUAGAUCUACAGUUUGGAGUCCAAGCAUGACUCAAAAAGCUUCUGCAUGUAUGAAGAACUGAAUGGACUCGACGAGUCCUUUGAGUGGACUCGGCGAGUAGCAUGAAGAUUAGGAGGAACUCGACGAGUGGGAUGAACAACUCGUCGAGUCGGAUGAAGAUUGCCGUAGACUCGGCGAGUCAAGUCGUGAAACCCCGAACCCCUUCGAGUUAGGACUCAGAUCAGUGAGUUGAGUGGAGACUCAGUGAGUUGGACAGGAUAGGACUCGAAAAUCAGUAGACUCGACGAGUCAGGGGAUGACUCGGCGAGUCGAGUCGCGAAUGGAAGGAUUCUGAGCCUAGGAACUCAGCGAGUCAGCAGGCAAACUCGGCGAGUAGAGUUGACCUGGAAGGUUGAUUUUGACCAAGACUUUGACUUUGACCAGAGUUGACUUAGUUGACUUUCGGAGGACAGUUAGACUAAGUGUUGCAUUGUUAUUGGUAGCUCGGGGAGCUAGUGGAGCAGGAGUUCAGAGAGUUGUCGGGCAGCAGCUAGAGGGGGUUAUCAGCAAGGUCAGCAAGUGUGGGUGAGUUUCCCUUUUGUGUGAAUGGGUCUACGGCCACAAUGCCGGCCCAUGUAGUUAUGAGUAGGAAGACCCGGGGGUUAGCCAUAGGUACAAUAUGCUAGUAUGAUAUUCAGGACGAGGUCCAGUGUAGCGGGCGGGUGCCCAAGGAAUGGUUUGCAUGAUAGUUAUACUUGUUGUCUGGUGGNGGUAGGGGGUGAGUGUGGGUGAGGUCCCGUAUCUCACUAUUAGCAAAGUAUGGUUGGGGUUCCAUAUCUCAUCAGUAGCCAAGCAAGGGCGAGGCCCAAGUUAGGAAAGGAGUGAGUGUGGUCCGGGCCCGUAUCUCACUAUCAGUAGGAGUGUGGACGGGGUUCCAUGACUCAUCAGUUGCAGGACAUGGGCGAGGCCUUUAGAACAGGAUUCGGUAGUAUAUGUUAGCGUAUGUGUGGCGAUAUGUUUAUGUGUUAGUAUAUGUUGGCGGGCGAGGCCCAGUGACAGGCGAGGCCUAAGUAAAGCAGACCUGUAUCCGAGCGGGGCUCGAAGCCAGGCGGGGCCUGGAGCGGCGGGGCCGUUGUAGCGGGCGAGGCCCAGAAUAACGGGCGUGUUGCCCGGUAUGUGCAGUAUGUGGCUAUGCAUGGUAUGUGGUAGGUUGGGGAACUCACUAAGCUUCGUGCUUAUGGUUUUCAAUUUUGGUUUCAGGUACUUCCGGUAGCGGAGGGAAGAGCUCGGGGUGAUCGCAUGGCACACACCAUAGCUUAGACAGUCUGGGACGUUUUACUCUGAUAAUGAACAUAUGUUUUUGGAAAUUAAUAUUCUGACUAUGUUAUGGAUUGAUAAUUAUGUUUUAAGCAAUGUUUCAUAAACGAAAUUUUUAAUCUUGAAUUUUGGGACGUUACAUUUCAAUUUUGGCUUGAAUGGAAUGUAACACCUAUGAUGAAAAGGCACGAAAAUUGUCAUAUGUUGAAGUCCCAAGUCAAUAUGUUUGGAAUAAAUCAGAUAAAGUACGGACAAGAAGAAAAACAAAGACAAAGUCACUUAGUAGAAUUAAUCACGUGUCUCCCAAGUCUGGUGAUAUUUAUUACUUACACAUUUUGCUUAAUAAAGUAAAGGGUCCUACUUGCUAUGAAGAUAUCAGGACAGUUAACGAUACCAUUUAUAAACCGUAUAAAGAUGCUUGCUACACUCUUGGUCUAUUAGACGAUAAUAAAGAGUACAUAUCUUUUAUACACGAAACACAUCAUUGGGCCACUACCACAUUCUGCAGGUCUCUAUUUGUUAUGUUGAUUACAUCCGAUAGCCUAUCCCAUCUUCAUCAUGUUUUUAAAGAGACCUAUAAUUGUCUUUCUGAUGAUGUCGUUCACAUUAGUGAACAAGAAAUCGGCGUAACAGAUACAUUUUCAAAUAAUUUAACCCAUUUACACUAAAAACAUUCUAAAAUUAAUUGAUAUUAAAAAUAAAUAAUUUCAUAAUUUUUUUUUGUCUUUUCUGGCUUGAAGUUAAAACCGGAAGCAAUUUUCCACCUAACAUUGUCAUACAUUGAGAAAUCUUUAUCGAGUUGUGGACCGAGUUUGAAGCAAAUACCCAAUAUGUCGUUACCUUAUCACAAAUAUAUUCAAGAUUCUUGCAAUAUGUUAAUUCAAGAUGAGCUUAAUUAUGAUCCGUUCGAUCUUGAAGUCGAACAUCAACAACUGCAUUCCAAAUUAAAUGUCGAGCAAAAAAAGGUUUAUGAUAAAAUUAUGAAUGUUGUUAACAACAAAAAAGGUGGUGUCUUUUUCUUGUAUGGUUACGAUACAGGAGAAACAAGAAAACAUUUGUUUGGAAGACACUGUCUACUGCUAUUAGAUCUAAAGGUGAAAUUGUUAUCAACGUUGCUUUAAGAGGAAUUGUAGCACUCUUGCUCUCUGGUGGUAGGACAACGCAUUCAAGAUUUCAUAUACUAAUCAACUUGAAUGAGGAUUCAUUUUGUUCUAUUACAGCAAGUAACGAUGUAGCUGAAUUGUUGAAUAAAGCUAGACUUGUCAUAUGGGAUGAAGCCCCGAUGAUGCAUCGUCAUUGUUUCGAAGCAGUUGAUAGGACACUUAGAGACGUUAUACUUUCAUCAGACAAGAAUAAACCAUUUGGAGGCAAGACCAUUGUAUUUGGAGGUAACUUUCGACAGAUUCUUCCAGUAAUACAAAGAGGAAAUCAUUCAAAUAUUGUCCAGGCAUCAUUGCAUUCAUCAAGAUUAUGGCGUGAAUGUAUAGUUUUACGUUUGAAUGUAAACAUGAGGCUUCAGGUCGGCUAUCCAAGUAAUGAUUUUGAAGAGAAAAAAUCAUUUGUUGAAUGGAUUCUUAAAAUUGGUGAAGGUACUAUUAGUGGCUCUAAUGAUUGUGAAGUUGAAGUUGAAUUUCCAGAAGAUGUUAUCGUUCCCUCUACGGGUGACCAUAUUCAUUCAAUUGUAUCCACCAUUUAUUCAUCAUUUCAGAACCAUCUUGAUGAUCCAUCAUAUUUUCAAGAUAAAACUAUUUCGGUCCCUACAAACGAAGAAGUCGAUGUCAUCAAUGAGUACAUGUUAGAGUUGAUGAAAGAUGAAGGAAAAACGUAUCUGAGUUCAGAUUCUUUAAGUGAGACUGAGGCACAAGAUUCUUUUGAGGAAUCGGUAUACUCUCUAGAUGUGUUGAAUGGUUUUAAGGCUUCUAGAAUUCCCAACCAUAAACUUAUACUAAAAAAAGGUUUUAUGCACAUGUUACUUCGUAAUAUCGACCAAACCAAAGGACUAUGCAAUGGUACUAGAUUACAGAUUGUAAGACUUGGAAGACACAUUAUUGAAGCCCGAAUCAUAUCUUGCAUAUUUUUCAAUGAGACUAAUUAUAUAUUUCGCAUGAAAUUAACACCAUCUGAUAAAAAAAUCCAUUCCAUUUUCAGCGGAGGCAAUUCCCUAUAGCUGUUUGUUUCACAAUAAUCAUUAACAAAAGUCAAGGACAAUCAUUAUCAUAUGUUGGAUUGUACUUGCGUAGACCUGUUUUCACUCAUGGUCAGUUAUAUGUAGCUGUUUCUUGUGUCACAAGUAAAAAAGGUUUGUAGGUACUCAUGUGACGUGGAAGGUCGUUCAACUAAUAAAACAAAAAAAUGUUGUCUACAAAGAGGUCACUCAACAAUUAUAGAUAUUUAUCAAUUUCGAUGUAUCUUCUAUAUAUUUUAAUAACACAAAUAGCCAUAGUUUUUUUCUUUAAUCAUUAAACAUUUGUAUGUUUUUUAUGCGUUCCCCGCAUUUAGCGCGAGUUAUAAUCUAGUUUAUAUACAUAUUACCUUUUUUUAGUUUUAGUUUUUUGACUUUUUAUUUGAUUUAUAAUAAUUAAUACAAGAGUUAAUAGACUUCUUUAAGUUUUAACAAAUGUGUCUUUGAUGAAGUUUCACAAAUGGUUCUUAGAUGAAGUUUCACAAAAUGAUAGAAAUUGUCCUUAUCAAAAACUAUUUCAACUUAACGGAUCCAUCAAACGGACAUCCAUUAGAUGGACCACUGGUGUGCAAGGUUUGCUCUAAAAGACCAUUCGUCCAAAAAAGAUUUUAUAGCUAUUAUUUUAGAGAAAAAAAUGAAACCAUAAGGACCAUUUGUGAAAUUUUGUCUUUUACAUAGAUCAUUGACAUAUUAUCAACUUUUUGAAAGUUGGACUGACAUUGUGAAUUUGACCAAAACACAAGGACCAUUACUUCAAUCUACUCUUGGUUUUUGAAGCAAAUAAAUUCAAUUUUCUUUCCUUUCAUAUCAAUCAAUUAAAGUGAUUUAAUACCAAAACCAAUCGACCCUAAACAUAAGUACAUAACAAGUCGAAUUCACUUGAAUUUCUUCUUCUAAAGUAGGCUUAAAAUGAGCUAGAACCAAAAGAGAUGAUCUAUAUGUAUUAGUAUAUGUGUUUACUUCACGAACCAGAAGAGAGAAUCCGUAUUUGUUUCCUCAAGAUCCAUGAGGUUUCCUCAUCCAAUUCCGGCCUUUAAGAUUGAUAAAGUUGAAUAAAACAAAAUUGACAUGUGAAACAGAACAUCGACAUUUGCAGGUUUCCAUGUCUGAAAACAAUUUGUUUUUUAGGUUUUAUCUUGAUUAUUUUCUUUUUCAGGGACGAGGUUUAUGUAAUGGAGAAGAAGGCCUUGAAUAUGUCGACCGCAAUUCUCUACAAUGCGUUUGAAAUUGGGCUUGGGUUAUAUUCUCAAAGAGAUGGAAUUUUUGGUGUUUUCAUUUUUAGUGUCAAAUUGUCCCCUUUCUUUCCCUUGGAUCACUUUUGCCAGUUGUCUGCUGCUGGCUUCUUUAUUUUCAUAAAAAUAUGCUGUCCGUUUUAGAAAAGAAAAACAUUUAAAACUUGAAUUCUUUAAAGAAUGGGACCAAAAUUAUGGGUCCAAAGUCAACAAUCCAAACAUCUAACUGGAAAUAUGGAAAUAUUGGAGCUUUAAAAAACGGCAUCCGGCCAUAAAAGAGCCUAAAAUUAAGAGUGCUGUUAAUCCAUAGUCUUCUCUUCUUCCUCACUCCUACAAAAAAAAAUACAACCCUAUUCUCAACAUUUGUUCAAUCGCAAGAAAAUGUCGAAUGCCAUUCAAUUCUUUGAACUGUUUAACAAAACCAAGAUUCCUUCUGUAGGUCUCGGCACAUGGCAAUCGGAGCCUGGUCUUGUUGGUGAUGCUGUUACUGCUGCUAUUAAGGUUACCCUCCCUCCCUCAUAGCUGUUCUUACUCUCUGUCGAUUCGUAUCCUGUAAUGAAAAAAUCACUUUCAGUAAUGAUCGUAUAUUCUAUUCAUGUUUUGUGUUCUAACAUGUGUUUGUCGCCCCUUUACGUCAUUACAACAAAUACAUUUAGCACAAUUUAAUAAAGUUAACCAGGGUCAGUAAGGGUUUCGACUUCGGAUAUUCAAAUUCAAAUUUAGCUAUCUACCAAUUAGCAAUCGAUACCUAAAAUUGGCGACAUGAUGCACACAUUUCCGUGUUUUAUGAAGUCAUUUCUUAUGAAAUGUAUUUGAUAUAUAAUGUUUCAUAUGCAUGUAGAUGGGGUAUCGUCACAUUGAUUGUGCUCAAAUUUAUCGCAACGAAAGGGAGGUACGCAAUUACUUACUUUUGUUUAUUGGAUUUUCUUGUUCUCUGGUUGCUAAUUCUAUAAAAUGUCAUUGUAUAGAUUGUUAAAUUUUAUUUCUUGCAGAUUGGUUUCAUGUAAAUUUAUUUAUUUCAGAUUGGUUUAGUUUUGAAAAAGCUCUUUCAAGAUGAUGUGGUGAAACGAGAAGAUUUGUGGAUCACCUCUAAGCUCUGGUUUGCCACAUUCCAUGGAAUCUAGAUUCUUCUCAUAUCAUAACAUGUUUCCACACACACACACACACACACAGAUCCUUCCAAGUUUCAGUUAACAAGCUAUAAUGAUUUGCAGGUGUUCUGAUCAUGCACCAGAAGAUGUACCAGUUGCAUUAGACCGAACACUGAAUGAUUUGCAGCUUGACUAUAUCGACUUAUACCUUGUAUGUAUGCAUUACAUAAAAAAAUUGUAUAUCUUUUUGUAUAUAUGAUUGAUUCAAACAAUGAAUUUUUAUUUUUAUUUAUCUUGAAGAUACAUUGGCCUGUUAGGCUGAAGAAGGGAUCUGUUGGAUUAAAGCCUGAGAAUCUUGCUCCAGUAGAUAUUCCAAACACAUGGAAAGCAAUGGAGAAACUUUAUGACUCUGGGAAGGCGAAAGCAAUUGGUGUUAGCAAUUUUUCCACCAAGAAAUUGGGUGAUUUGUUGGAUGUUGCACGUGUUCCACCUGCUGUCAACCAGGUGGAAUGUCAUCCUUCAUGGAAGCAAACAAAACUAAGAGACUUUUGCAAAUCCAAAGGCGUUCACUUAUCUGUGAGCUAACACAUUGCCAUAAUAAACAAAAACAUUGAUUUUCAAAAAAUAACCAAAAAAGUAGUAUAUUUUAAUAAUUGGCAUACGAUAUGAUUUUGUAUACUUUUUGCAGGGAUAUUCGCCGCUUGGUUCUCCGGGGACCUCGUUCAUUAAAAGUGAUGUACUCAAACAACCGAUUCUUAUUUCAGUAGCAGAAAAAUUACACAAGACACCUGCUCAGGUUGCUCUACGGUGGGGUCUACAGAUGGGUCAUAGCAUACUUCCCAAAAGUACAAGUGAAUCCCGGAUCAAAGAAAAUUUUGAGAUUUUUGACUGGUCAAUUCCUGAUGAUUUGUUCACUAAGAUCUCUUCUGAUAUCGAGCAGGUAUGGAUGCAUGCCAAAAGCAGUACAACCUGUUAUUUCUUGUCCUGUACUGCAUAACAAAUGGGGUCUCGUGAACUUGCGUUGUUGUUUUUGCAGGCUAGGCUUCUGAGAGGUACUUAUUUUGUUGAUGAGACUCAUGGUCACUACAAGACAGUCGAGGAACUAUGGGAUGGUGAAAUAUGAAUGCUGCCUGGUGUAGGAUUUUGCUUUCCAUGCUAUUCUACUUUACUCUUUACCUUUUAAGAUUUUCCUUAACCUUUCUUAAUGUGACGAGUGAAAUCUUAAACACUACUGUUGUGCAUUGUGGGAUGGAUGUUAUGUUUGAUUGUUAAUUUUCUUCUAUCUAUACAUUCCUAUUCCGGUGGUGAUUGUUAGUGUAUCCCACGUCGUCACGCUCGCUUAUGUGUUUAUAUGUGUUGAAGUUUCCUCUUUCUCUACUAAAGGGUUCUUUUGGAAAGACAAUACUGGACUCCACCUAUAUCUUACAUUGAUGUUGAAAGAAAUAGAUUUGCUCUUUCACUUUUUUUUUUCUUUUCUUUCUAAUGUAUUCUUACUCAUUCUUAUUCUCAACAAUUUUAUGAAAAUUAACAUUUAACCCACCACCCACCACCACUUCCAUCACUCAUCACUAUCGCCACCAUAAUCGUUUAUAUCAAAUAAAAAUGAAAAGAGAGAACAUAGCAGUUAACAACACCACAAUUAAAAUACAUAAUCGUUUCAUUAAUGAUAACGCUUAGUACAUAAUGCAUGGAAAUUGACCUUUUAAAAACGUCUACAGUACAUCAAUGGUUCAAAUCAGACAACGUAACGACCCUGUGAGUAGUGUACUCACUUAAAUGUAGGGUCGAUCCUACAUACAUAGAGAACUGAAAAGGGGUAGCACCAACGCAUACCUAUAACCAAAUCUACAACAAGCGGUGAGUUGGAUAAGUCCUACUCACGACGAGUGAUCCCUGGUGUGGUGCAGGUGAUGAGGUAGAAGCGCCCUGGAGCUCGGCUAGUCGGCACUCGACAAUCAGUACCCUCUCCUCCAAAGCAGCAUGUCGCUCCCGGUACUCCCUUACCUCUGCUCGGGCAGUGGUAAGAUCCUCGAUGAGCUGCUCCCUCAGAUAGUGGUCUCUCUGGAGCUCCUGAGCAUGUGCGGUAGUGACCUCCAGAGCAACCCUCAUCUCCAUGAUUCGAUGGGCUAUCGUCUGCACCUAGUCCCCGAUAUCGGUAAUCCUCCUGACCAUGACAGGAAGGGCUUGGUCCGUGGGCCUUCCGUGGUGAAGAUCGUAGAACCCUUGCUCCAUCCUGAACGGUGGAUGUUGUCCUUAGUGUCGGCUCGAUCACUCCAGGUCGUAGGCCCAAAGGGGCAUAGGGCCAUUGGGGCCCAAACAAUGCGCUGGUACCCUCACCAUGUAGGGAGGGUCGAUGACUUCGGACUCGGCGUCCGAAUCAUCGUUCUCUUCUUCCUCAUCGUUAAUCUCCUCGUCUAUCUCUUCCUUUUCGAUCUAUUCCGGAUCCUCGUUGGGAUCCUCCUCAAUCCAUCCCCCGUUUCCGUGAUUGGGGAAGUAUGGGUCUCCAGGUGUUGGAAGCCCGCCAUAGUGUCUGCACGAGAAUAUAUAAGUAUGAGAAAAUAGAUAGAAUGUUAAAAUACCCCUAUAGUAUUUUAUGUCUUUUAGUUUUGUUCUUAGACCCUCUUGAUUUACAGCUGAUAAGUUUUAGAUUUGUUAUCCACCUUGACCACUCCUAGACACAUGUUGGUCGUAUCUCAAAUAAAUAUAGUUGAUCAGACUAUAUUUACCCUAGAUAUGAUUACAUAACUGUCUAAGUUUAGUCGCGAUGUCCAACUCUUGUUAUUGUUUUCUAAUAUACAUGUAUGUUUGUACACUUUUAUAAAAUACUUAUAUUUUUAAAGUAUACUUUUAGUCAGAGUGUUUUAGUCCCAUUGCAUUUAUAAUUGUAUAUCUUGUAUGGUUAGAUAUACUAGUUCAUUAUAAACAAUGCUCUGAUACCAAUCUGUCACACCCCCGAACCAGGACAGCGGAAACGUUCGGGGGCGGAUGACGUGAUUAUCUAGUAUCACAACAAUUGAAUAUGAAUGAAACUUAGCAACCAAACAACAAUACAUUAAAAGAUACCAUCACACAUUGUUUACAAAUUGUAUUUGUUCAUCAAAUUGUCAAAAAUGACAUAAAGUGAGUGAAUUCAAAAAGUCGCAAAUCCGAUUCCCUGAGAAUACAAGUCAUUUGAAAAUCGUAAACAUUAAAUGUUGGUGAGUUCAUAAGCAUUUUUGGAAGAAAAGGUUUGGAACAUCUUUGUUUGUAAUAAUUUGUAAGGCUCCAGAAAAUCCGAUAUUUUCUUGUGAAAAAUGGUUUGUAAGUCUCGUUCUAGAACUGUGAAUAUUUUCAGUUGUAUGAAAAAUUGUAGUCUUAACUCUAAGACUGGAGUGGUGGUAAUAGUGCACUGAAAAAUGAAGCGUAGUUUUGUAAUUUAUAAAACCAGUGAAGUGUAUACUUUUUGUAAAUCCAAAAUAACGUUGUUAAUCCCUAUGUGAGUCGUUACAACCAUGCUUGAUGUGACUGAUAUGCCUGUCAUGACGUUCUUUAGGCGUCGGUUUUGGUAAGAUGUUUGUCACCCUAGACCGGCCCAGUCUAGCUGUAGCGAACAACUCAUGUGUGUGGGUGUCAACCCCGUAUAGAUCUAUACACAAUUACCUCGCUAUCCCUCCAGGAGGCUCCGUACAGGACUUACGGUGUACGCUAGGUAGGUACGGUGAAGGAAAGUCUCACUAGAGCCUUAACAGAUUUAUGAGUACUUUGACUCCCAUUAUUGAAUAAUGAAAUCGACAUUACUAGUGUAAAUUUAUGACUGAAUUUUUAUGACACGUGUUUUACAGCUUUAUGACAUACAACUUAUUACUUAUGCUUUAACAGCUUUAUGAUAGACAGAUCUUGACUCGCGAAACUUUCUGUCACGAAUUCUGUUUUGUAUACCAUUUUGGUUAAAUUAUUUAUAAUACCUUUUAUAAGUAAUCAUUAGUGAACAUAUCAUAUAACAUAAGUUCUCAAGUUUUUAAGCCAUCCAACAAAAUAGUGACAACUUAGUUAAGAAUAUUUUUCCAAUAAAAUUAAUAUUAGCAAAAUAUCAAGUUUUGUAGUUUGUUUAAUACACCAAAUAUUAUUUUGAGAGUUUUGUAACACAAAAUAUUCUAAUUUGUUGUGACCCUAGCAAGUCACGAUUUUCACAAAAUACAAAUAUGACCAUGAAAUUUAUUAUAUGCAAAUAUUUGUGUAAGUAUUCGUGUUAAAAAUGUAUAUGUCCAAAAGUUAAGCAUGUUUGAGCACAACACUCAUUUUUUCACCAGUUUUGAGUGUGCAACCCACAUCCACAAGUUUUCAUGCAACAUAUAUGUUAACAAACAGAUUUUUCAUGGUUUUUAUGAAGAUGCAUAAGAUAAAAUCAAUGUUCAUGCAAUUACCCAAAGGUUAAAUACAUUACACAUAGGUCCAUGCAAUUAUCUAACGAUUAANNNNNNNNNNNNNNNNNNNNNNNNNNNNNNNNNNNNNNNNNNNNNNNNNNNNNNNNNNNNNNNNNNUAUGAAAAAUACGAAGAUAGUGGGGGGUAUGAAGCUCACCUUGAAGAUUUCGUGUGGUAGAAGAGAGGAAAAUGAAGAGAUUUCGAGCCUAGUCUUGCACCUCUUGAAGGUAUUCUCGAAAUUUUAGGUGUUUCUAAGAACUUAACACACAAAAAAAGUGUGUAAAUAAGAAGUUGGUAUCAUAAAAAUGUUUAGAAUUACAAGGCUACAUGAAGUUCUUACCAAAUGACUAAGAUUUUUCCUUGAAGUGAACUCCUUCCUUGAAGAUGGUCUCGGAAAUUUUGAGGGAAAAAUGAGAGCAUUUGAGAGAGUUUGGAGUGGGAUGAAUUGCAAAUGGGUGUUGUGUGUAUGGUGGGGUAUUUCGGCCGAGAAUAAGAGAGAGAGAGAGAGUGGGGGUGUUGACUUUGUUGAUUAGAGGCUUGAGAUGAUACUUGCUUGGAAGUAUGGAGGUUAAUUGCCUUGUUAUUUAAGCGGUAAAAGUGAGGUGGCAAGGGUUUUCUCAUUUCUUUCUCUCUCUUUUUUUUUUGUUUUAUUCAAGCCUUAGUCGAAACUAAGGGGGUUUGCGGCCUUAAGGCCUCUGAAGGGUUUUCGGUUUUAAGUGUGGCCGAAAACACCCUAAUUCCCUAAUGUGUUUGCGGUUUUUGAUGUGUGUAUGGAUCUUUGGGUGUUAUUUGAUCCAAUAGAAGGGUUUUUGGCCCAAUGGAAGGCCCAUAAGAAGUUUUAGGCCCAAUAAGGCCCAAAGAAAGGAUUUUAGGUCCAAUAAGGCCCAAAGAAAAGCUUUCGGCCGAAUAGGGCCCAAGGAGAAAUUUUCGGCCCAAUAGGGCCCAAGGAAAGAGUUUUUGGCCCAAUAGGGUGUUGGGCCGAGAAUUCUUGGACCAAGGCCCAAAGUUGAUUGGGCUUAGCUAUUGGAUCGAAUUUUUGGGCUUGUAUGAGGCUAUUUCAUGUUGAAUCACAAUGUAUGCACGUAUGAAUUCGAAUAACAUUGUAGUAUGAAUUUUAUUAAUAAGAUGCAACAAGGUUACAUAGAGGAAUUUGUUGUGAACAAGCUUCGCAUCUUAAACCCUAAAUUGCUAGUUGUGACAUCAUCCCCCCGUUAGAGGGAUGAUGUGUGUAAAAUGCACUUGUUUUAUCCCUACUUUUAUUGAUAUAUUUAGCACACAAAGGCAGUGAACCUGUCUUUUAGUGGUAUAGUUUAGUAAGUAAGGUGUCGAACUCAGGGAACGGAAAAUUAAACUAAUAACUAAUUUUAACUAAAACAAUUAAUGAAAGUAAAAGGUUUUUCUUCUAGUUUUACAAGACUAGAAACUUAAGCAACACUUAAUUAACUAAAUGACUAAAGCAAACAACUAAUUCACCAAAUUUGAUAAAGAUGUUUCUAUUUAGGUUCAACCAAUUCACUCCUAUGGUUAUUUGUAUUUAUGAUAGAUUAAUUCUUAUUGGCUACCAAUUAAAGUGGUUAGGUUCAUGUCCAUUACUCCUAACCCUUAGACAAUUAACUAAUUUAAGCGGUGAUCAAAUGUUUAAACUAAUUAAUUCCCUAGAUUAAUGAUUUGGAUUAAAUAAGAUUUGUAGUGGUGAAUCAAUUUAGUAAAUCAAUUAACCUCUUGUUUGAUGGUUUCUCAAACAAGCUCACACAUUAAUCUAAUUAUUGUCUUAUUAAUCUUAGUUUCAUAAUCAUUAUUCCUAAGCAUAUGAAUUAGUGUUCACAUAGACAUAUGAGGUUAACAACUAAGAGAUGUUCACGCAGCUUAAUUGUCUUCCAAUUAACAGAAAAUAAUCGUGAUUAAUGCAUAAGGGUCUUUAACAAACUUAAUUUAAUAGAUCACCAAUAAACAAUUAAUCAAAANNNNNNNNNNNNNNNNNNNNNNNNNNNNNNNNNNNNNNNNNNNNNNNNNNNNNNNNNNNNNNNNNNNNNNNNNNNNNNNNNNNNNNNNNNNNNNNNNNNNNNNNNNNNNNNNNNNNNNNNNNNNNNNNNNNNNNNNNNNNNNNNNNNNNNNNNNNNNNNNNNNNNNNNNNNNNNNNNNNNNNNNNNNNNNNNNNNNNNNNNNNNNNNNNNNNNNNNNNNNNNNNNNNNNNNNNNNNNNNNNNNNNNNNNNNNNNNNNNNNNNNNNNNNNNNNNNNNNNNNNNNNNNNNNNNNNNNNNNNNNNNNNNNNNNNNNNNNNNNNNNNNNNNNNNNNNNNNNNNNNNNNNNNNNNNNNNNNNNNNNNNNNNNNNNNNNNNNNNNNNNNNNNNNNNNNNNNNNNNNNNNNNNNNNNNNNNNNNNNNNNNNNNNNNNNNNNNNNNNNNNNNNNNNNNNNNNNNNNNNNNNNNNNNNNNNNNNNNNNNNNNNNNNNNNNNNNNNNNNNNNNNNNNNNNNNNNNNNNNNNNNNNNNNNNNNNNNNNNNNNNNNNNNNNNNNNNNNNNNNNNNNNNNNNNNNNNNNNNNNNNNNNNNNNNNNNNNNNNNNNNNNNNNNNNNNNNNNNNNNNNNNNNNNNNNNNNNNNNNNNNNNNNNNNNNNNNNNNNNNNNNNNNNNNNNNNNNNNNNNNNNNNNNNNNNNNNNNNNNNNNNNNNNNNNNNNNNNNNNNNNNNNNNNNNNNNNNNNNNNNNNNNNNNNNNNNNNNNNNNNNNNNNNNNNNNNNNNNNNNNNNNNNNNNNNNNNNNNNNNNNNNNNNNNNNNNNNNNNNNNNNNNNNNNNNNNNNNNNNNNNNNNNNNNNNNNNNNNNNNNNNNNNNNNNNNNNNNNNNNNNNNNNNNNNNNNNNNNNNNNNNNNNNNNNNNNNNNNNNNNNNNNNNNNNNNNNNNNNNNNNNNNNNNNNNNNNNNNNNNNNNNNNNNNNNNNNNNNNNNNNNNNNNNNNNNNNNNNNNNNNNNNNNNNNNNNNNNNNNNNNNNNNNNNNNNNNNNNNNNNNNNNNNNNNNNNNNNNNNNNNNNNNNNNNNNNNNNNNNNNNNNNNNNNNNNNNNNNNNCCCUACAUGCUUAAGCAAGGGCGCUCAAUCUCAACCUUUAUUGGCUAACGAUAACAAUUUUCCUGGAUACAUUUCAGGUUUAGGCUGCUAAACAUAUUACAUCCCUCGGGCCGAGCGAGGUUGUGUUUUUGUCCCAUGAUUUCACUGGAAUAAGGAAGCCACAAAUGCACUAGAACGUAUAUAGGCUCAACUAAACAUUUGGGUCUUCAUGCAAUUAUCAACACAACUCUAACAUGAAAUCCUAAUUUUACUUUUACCAAAAUUUUCUAAAUUAAAUCCUAAGUAAUAUUUUUGGUAUGCAAUUUUUUUUUUAAAAUUAGCCUAAAUUAAGAUUCUAAGUUUUCUAUUUAUGUGACCAACCCCCUACCCCACACUUAUUUUAUGCAAUGCCCUCAUUGCAUAUUAUGCAAGAAUGCAAAUAUAGAGAGAAUUGGAACAAACUCCCCUGGGGUAGCAGUCGAUAGGUUGAUACUCUCUUCUUCAGCUCCUUCUUCUCUUGACUUUCACCAUGGGAACAGCUCAUCCAUGGCUCGGGUGUCAUACGUAUCGUGUGGUUGACAACUCGAAAAUUUUAAGGAACAAGCUUCUUUAGAAUAUCUCCAGAGACAAUUCCUCCCAAAAAGUGGGUAAAUGUUGCAGUGAAAGUGCCCAAAGCAGUUCUGGAAUUCGAAAAUUGGCAGCCUACUCGGCGAGUAGUAGCGUGGACUCGGCAAGUAGCUCUUGUCUUAGAACGAUAUCGUGUAAUAGCUCAGGUACUCGCCGAGUAGAAUUUAUGCACUUGACGAGUAGAACUGUCAGUUUCAAAAAUUAAUAUAACUGAUGCUCCAUUCGACUCUGGUUUGGAAAUGCAAACUGACCCUCUCUUCUAAUUCCUUCAGUAAUAGCACACUCCAUUACUCUCAACUUUCACGGACUCAAUCCUAAGGACAACACUCUAUUUUUUCCUUGAAAAUCUCUUAAUCCCUUCUUGACCCUCAAAUUAGCAUGCCUCCUAAUAUUCUAUCCUGAAAAAAAUUAAACAACUAAAAGUGACACUAAUAAUCAACCCACAAAAACAAACAUCAUCCAAGUGUUUUAACAUUUGUACAAAACAUAACCAAAACAUCAUAAACAUAAAAGAAAACAAUUCUUCAUCAUUCAUCCUCCAUAUCGGCUCCUCCCGUGCCACUUCCUCCUUCUCCGGCUCUCCUCCUCAUCCGCUUAUCCCAAUUCAUAAUAUAUAGAUACCCGGGACCGGAUCUUGGGGUGAUAUUCAUUUGUUGAAAAAGAUAUUCAAAAGAUUGGUUAUUAUAGUUCACCCUUGCCCAAUGUUAUCUAAGUAGCGAUGGUAUUCUAAUUGGUUCCAUCCGUCAUUAUCCUCCUCCACCGGAAUAACCGGUGGGUCUUCUCGCACCCGCUCGCUACGCUGUCUUACCCGCCUCCCCGGCUCCUCCGGAAUCGCCGGCUCGUCUUCAUGUGGGAUGGUGAAUGAGUCACCAAACUUCUCGACUAUCCUCUCCCUCUGAUAUAAUGCUGUGUUGAAUGGUGGAGGGUGGAUAACCGUGAGUGCCCUAGCUUGCGGCAGAUCAAGUAUCCCAAAUGACUUGGCCAGUCGAGUGAUAAACAUUCCUCAAUUGAUUUUUGAAUUGAUUUUCUCCUUGACCGCCCCUUCGGCAAGGAAUUUGGCAAUGCAGUACGGGAGGUUGCAAAGGCUUCGGGAGUAAUGAUACUCCAUAAAUAGAAGAUGUCAAGGGUUGGGACCUUGUCCCAAUCCUUCCUCUGGUUGAUGGUACUGGCAACAAGUCGGUGAAUAAGGCGGUGGAUUGGUGAGCGGAUGUGGCCUUCUUGGGCGGUGGAAGGAAUAUAAACUCGGUUGGCGAUCGUGUUCCACCAUGUUGAGGCCACCACUGCCUCGGGAAGUUCUUUGUGGCUGUUUUCCAAGAAUGCUUCAAAAUCUUCCGUCAACAUCAUGCUUUGAUCAUAAAUUCCCAACCUCCAUGAGAACUCAGCAAUGCUGCAUUGUCGCAGCUCUCCACCCAAAGAAAAAGAGAUUAUGUUGGGAUUGUAGUAGUCACUACCACCUCAGAAUUAGAUGGUAGCGAAAAACUCCCAGCACAACUCAACAUACACGGAUUCCUUAAUUUUGAACAAUUGUAACCACCCAUCACACAUGAUGGUGGUGUACCCCAAACUGCACUCUUUCACCAAAUAAGGUGUAAGCUCCUCCUCCAACCCUACAUUGCCCAGCCAACCCCAAUCAACCGCGUUUGGGAGAUGAAUUUCCUUUUGCUUGAGGGCCUCCAACCUGUUUCUAGCCCUUGUUUGGGAUGACUUGGAAGUUAUGUGUUGAAAGGAAAGCCAUGGAAUAUCACUUUGGCUUCCCCCGCGCGAAGACUGCCCCCUUCUAGCCAUGGUUCCUGCAUACAAACACCAAAAAACACACCAGCAACAAUACCCAGUAAUUAAAAACAAAGACAGUGGGUCUGAAUAGUCAUCUACUCGCCGAGUACACGACCUACUCAGCGAGUAGGAUGAACAUCGGGACUGUAUUGUCUUGGACCUGUGUAUAGCGUCUAAUAAUCCAAUUUUUCCAUAGGGGUUUGUUGUAAUGGGCUAUCUAACCAUAAAUCAUAAAAAAAUUCGUCAUAAUAUUACGUGAUUCAUGGCUAAUUCGAAACCCUAGAAUUUGAGGAAACCCCCAAAUUCGAAAUCAAGCAAAAUUGGGGCAAAUCUACGAUAAAGAUCGAACCUUUAACGAGUUUAUAGUGUAAAGAUGUUACCUUUUUGGUUGAAUGAUGCAAAUCGAGUGGAAAAUCGGAGAACUGAGACGAAAUCGCGAAAAUCGCCUAGCUACUCGAGGAAUUGCUGUGCACGGCGAGUAUGAGGUGAAAUGGGUGAAAAACCCUCUUUUUUUACAGACUUAUAUUUCACCCGUGUAAAUUGGCUACUCGCCGAGUAGAUCGGACCUACUCGCCGAGUACAUAUGCAGUUACGCGUUUUUUCGGGUUACUCGGGUAGGUACUCGCCGAGUAAACGUGCCUACUCGGCGAGUAAACCUUGCAUUUUGAAAAAUUUUCUGACAAUUUUGAAAAAUUUAUGUAUUUUCUCAUUUUUUAAACCAUCCACCCCACACUCUAAGCAUUGCUUGUCCUCAAACAGUUAUGUUCUCAAAAAUAGAUGAAGAAAAGAAAAAUAAUAAAAAUAAAGAAAAGGAAAGAAAAUGCAAACUUGAAACUCGGGUUACCUCCCGAGAAGCGCUUCUUUUUAGGGAGUCAUUAGUUGGACUCCUCCUCUUCUACGUGGUUGCAAUCCUUUCCAGCAACAGCAACUCUUCCAUUCCUUCAUUCCGAGGGACUCCUUCUUCAUAUUUUUUAACCCUAUGACCAUUGACCUUGAAAGGCGUGCCAUCUCUUGAUAAUAGCUCUAUAGCACCAUGUGGAAACACCGUCUUCACUAUAAAAGGCCCAUCCCACCUUGACUUAAGUUUUCCCGAGAAAAACUUUAGUCUUGAGUUAAAGAGCAACACUUUUUGGCCUUCAUGAAUUUGUUUAUCUUUAAUCCUUUUGUCAUGCCACAUCUUGGUCUUCUCUUUAUAUAGCCAUGAACUAGAGUAUGCAUCAUUCCUUAGUUCUUCAAGAGCAUUCAUUUGCAUUAACCGGUUGCUCUUUAAUUCCUCCAUGUUGAAAUUACACCUCUUCAAAGCCCAAAACGCCUUGUGUUCUAGCUCCACCGGUAAAUGACAUUGCUUUCCAUAAACUAACCUAUAUGGUGUGGUACCAAUAGGUGUUUUGAAAGCUGUACGAAAGGCCCAAAGUGCAUCAUCUAGCUUAUCCGACCAUUCCUUGCGAUCGCUCCCCACUGAUUUCUCCAAAAUUCGCUUUAAGGCUCGAUUUGUCACUUCGGUUUGUCCACUAGUUUGUGGAUGGUAUGAUGUGGAAAACUUAUGGGUGAUCCCAUAUUGCUUUAACACCUUUUCCAAUUGAUCAUUGGCAAAAUGUGUGCCUCGGUCACUUAUAAGGGCUUUUGGGACUCCAAAUCGUGAAAAUAGUUUCUUUAAAAACCGUACUACCACCCGUCCGUCAUUUGUUGGUAAUGCUUGUGCUUCCGCUCAUUUGGAUAUGUAAUCCACCGCCACUAGUAUGUAUUUGUUUCCUUUAGACAUGGGAAAUGGUCCCAUGAAGUCAAUUCCCCACACAUCGAACACCUCGCAUACUUGGAUACUAUGUUGUGGCAUUUCAUUUCGAGAUGAAAUGUUUCCCACCCUUUGACAAGCAUCACAUUCUUUGACAAAUUGGGUUGCAUCUUUAAAAAUUGUGGGCCAAUAAAACCCAAUGUCAAAGAUCUUCUUCGCCGUGUAAUGUGCUCCAUGAUGUCCACCCGCGGGCCCGCUAUGAUAAUGCUCUAGUAUUUUUCGGCUUUCCUUUCCGAAUACGCAUCUUCGUAUGAUCCCAUCCGCACAUCUUCGAAAGAGGUAUGGCUCAUCCCAAAAGUAAUAUUUUAAUUCAGCAAAGAAUUUCUUCUUUUGUUGACUGCUAAAAUCUUUCGGGAUGUAUUUUGUAGCUAAGUAAUUAGCUAUGUCCGCGAACCAUGGCUCUUCUCCCACUGUCACCAUGAUGUACUCGUCCGGGAAGUCGUCUCCAACUUUAUCUUCUUGCAAUUGCGGGUUCUCAAGCCUUGACAAGUGGUCAGCUGCUACAUUCUCCAUUCCCUUCUUGUCUCGUAUCUCUAUGUCAAAUUCUUGAAGAAGUAGCACCCAUCGUAUCAGUCUUGGCUUGGCAUCCUGUUUGGAAAACAAAUACUUGAUAGCCGAGUGGUCAGUAAAAACAGUAGUUUUAGAUAAAACUAAAUAAGGGCGGAAUUUGUCAAAUGCAUACACCACAGCUAGUAAUUCUUUUUCAGUGGUGGUGUAAUUUUCUUGGGCUGGAUUUAGAGUCUUGCUAGCAUAAUAUAUGGGUCGAAAGUGCUUAUCAACCCUUUGACCAAGGACAGCUCCUAAUGCAAAGUCACUAGCAUCACACAUAAUCUCAAAGGGUAAGUUCCAAUUUGGUGCAAUAAUGAUCGGGGCAUUAGUUAAUUUUUCCUUUAAACAUUCAAAUGCCUCAAAACAUUCUUUAGUAAAAGUAAAUGGUGCAUCUUUUAGUAGUAAUUGUGUUAGAGGUCUAGUUAUUUUGGAAAAAUCUUUUAUGAAACGCCGGUAAAAACCCGCGUGUCCUAGAAAACUCCUAAUGCCCUUCACAUUGGUUGGUGGGGGUAAUUUGGCAAUAGUGUCUAUCUUUGCCCUAUCCACUUCAAUUCCCAUUUUGGAAAUCUUGUGGCCCAACACUAUACCCUCCUUGACCAUAAAAUGACAUUUCUCCCAAUUGAGUACCAAGUCGGUUUUUUCACACCUAGCAAGCAUUAAAUCAAGAUUAGUGAGACAAUCAUGGAAAGAUGAUCCAAAUAUGGAAAAAUCGUCCAUAAAAACUUCCAUGAAUUUUUCCACCAUAUCGUGGAAUAUAGCUGUCAUACACCUUUGAAAAGUCGCGGGUGCAUUGCAUAACCCAAAAGGCAUGCGUCUAUAAGCGAAAGUCCUACUUGGGCAAGUGAAUGUGGUCUUUUCUUGGUCCAUUGGGUCAAUGGGUAUUUGAAAAUAACCCGAAAAUCCAUCUAGAAAGCAAUAAUAGCUAUGGCCCGAUAAUCUUUCUAGCAUUUGAUCAAUAAAAGGUAAGGGAAAAUGGUCUUUACGAGUGGCAUCGUUUAGCUUUCGAUAAUCGAUGCACACUCUCCAACCGGUUACCGUUCGUGUCAGAAUUAGCUCUUUCUUUUCAUUGGGUAUGACCGUCAUCCCUCCUUUCUUGGGCACCACUUGGACCGGACUCACCCAUGGACUGUCGGAAAUGGAAUAUAUAAUUCCCGCAUCUAAGAGCUUGACCACUUCCUUCUUGACUACUUCUUGCAUAUUCGGGUUCAGUCUUCUUUGGUGCUGUACAACCGGCUUUGCUCCUUCUUCCAGAUUGAUCUUGUGGGAGCAAUAGGAUGGACUUAUUCCCUUGAUGUCGGUGAUGCUCCAUGCUAUGGCCCGUUUCCGCUUCUUCAACACUUGCACGAGCUCUUCUUUUUCAUAAUUGGUCAGGUCAGAGACUAUAAUUACUGGCUUUUGGUUGCCUUUUUCGAGAAAAGCAUACUCCAAAUGAUCUGGUAAAGUUUUAAGCUCCGAUUUUUGGUUCUGACUGUUGGACUCGCCGAGUGUAGGUAGGGUACUCGGCGAGUUUGUGGCUGUAUUUACGACUUCUGCCUUUUCUUCAGAGGUACUCGGCGAGUAGAUCGGUCCUACUCGGCGAGUAGGACUGUUAGUUUGUUUUACCAAUUCUUCAUAGUCUGCUUCUUCCAGCAGUCUUUCAAUUUCCAUCAAGUCUUUUUCUGGAUCAAAUUCUUCAUCAUCAGUUAUGAACUUGCUGCAAUCUUCAGUUAUGCCUUCCUCCAAUAAUUCGUCAAGCAUAUCGAUUGAGAAUGUCGUGUCGUCACUGUUCCUUGAAUACUUCAUAGCUUGGUCUACCCCAAAUGUGACUGAAUCUUCUCCUACCCGCAAGGUGAGCUUUGAGUCCCUCAUGUCUACUAUAGCACUUGCCGUGUUGAGGAAGGGUCUUCCAAGGAUGAUUGGCACUUGUGGAUCCGCCUCCAUGUCUAGAAUGAUAAAAUCAGCGGGAAAGACGAAUUUGUCCACCUUGACUAGUAUGUCUUCGCAUAUGCCUCUUGGGAAGGUGACUGUCUUGUUUGCCAAGUGUAUUGCCAUGCGAAUUGGCCUUGGUUCCGGGAGAUCCAGCUUCUUAAAGAAUGAAUAUGGCAUUAGGUUCACACUUGCUCCCGAAUCGGCUAAGGCAUGAAUGGUGGCCAAGUUGCCAAAUUGGCAAGGUAAAGUCAAACUCCCCGGAUCACCUUUCUUCUUUGGUAGCUUAUUUAGCAUAGCAGCUGAGCAGUUUUCAUUGAGUACUACCUUCUUCACUUCUUCCAUCUUCCUUCUAUUAGUGAGAAGUUCCUUAAGGAACUUUGCAUACUUGGGCAUUUGCAUGACAGCUUCAAUGAAGGGAAUGUUGAUUUGAAGAGUUUUGAUAUGAUCUAUAAACUUCUGAUACUCCUCUUCCUGCUUCUCCUUCUUAGCUCGGGCUGGGUAUGGCAUGGGAGGCUGGUAAAGUUUUUCAGGAAUCUGUGUGGUGGGAUUUUGUGAUGUACUCGCCGAGUCCAUACGUGGUACUCGGCGAGUAGGGCUGUCAGAGUGUAUUUCUUGGUUUUCUGCUUGCUUUUCUGCCUCCUCCUUCUGUGAUUUCUUGGAUGACUCAGUCUGAAUAGGUGUCAGGGGAGUGAUUAUCUUCCCACUUCUUGUUGUGACUAUGUUUAUGUGCGCGCCUCGUGGGUUAUUUUUAGUUUUGCUAAGAAGUUCGCCCGGUGACCUUUGGUUAAUUUGUUGAGCAAGUUGUCCAAGCUGUGUCUCUAUAUUGUGGAUAGAUGCUUGCUGGUUCCUAAGCAUGGUCCUUGUUUCUUGAAUUGCAGCAUCAUGGUCACUAUGUCUUUUUUCUGAAGCAGCUACAAAUUUGGUGAGCAUUUCUUCCAAGCUUGGCUUCCUUUCUUGCACCGGCUCCUCCUUUUGGUAGAACCCUCUCCCUUUUUGCCUAAACCUUUCCUCCUUGGCUUUCUUGUACUCUUCAUAAGGGAGCCACUCUUUCUUUUGUUUGCGCCAGUCUUCAUCAUAUCGGUCUCCACUUGAAUAACAAACUUGCACCUUCUUGUUGCCAUUCUCAUCUAAAUCACAGUCUCUAGUGAGGUGAGGCCCAUUGCAGUUUUCACAACCCACCCGAAUAGCAUGGAUUGUUUGAUCCAUUUUAUCCAUCCUCCUAUCCAUGGUUUUUAGCAUAGCCAUGACCGCGGAUAAGUCUUCAGUAGCUGCAUAAGCGGCUCCCCUAGUGACAUCAUGCCUAGGGUUGUGGUAUUCUCUAGAGUGUUUAGAGAAUUCUUCAAUCAAUUCUUUGAUCACCGGGGGUGGCUUCUUUGUGAGCGGGCCUUGCGAGUCUAGUAACUGCCUGGUUGUGACAUUGACUCCAUCAUAGAAGAUGGAUACUUCUUGCUGGCUGUUAAGGUCAUGGUGUGGGCAGUUUCUUAGUAAGCUCUUGUACCUCUCCCAUGCUUCAUAUAGCGACUCUCCAGCUUGUUGUUCAAAGUUAGCAAUGGCCUUCUUCAACUUGGCUAUCUUGGAAGGUGGGCAAAAGUGAUCAAUGAAUUCUUCUUUCAUCUUGGCCCAAGUGGUGACUGAUCCGGGGGGAAGUGACUUGAGCCAGUCUUUUGCAGCACCUUUGAAUGUCACCGGAAGCAUACGAAGUAGCUGAGUCUCGCGGGGCACAUUUGGAACAUUGAAGUAAUCAGCUACAUCAUUGACUUCAUCCAAAUGUUUGUAGGCAUCUUCAUGGUCUUUUCCAUAAAAAGGUAUUUCCUUAAGUAAAGCUAGGAUAUGACCCUUUAGCUCGAAGGUAGCAGUCGCGGGAAUUGCGGGUUGCACAAGUCCCGGGCCAGUGUCGUCUCGCAUCCUCUUCUUCCAUUCUCCCAUGGGGAUUUCAUCAAUGUUAGCCAUUGUGACAGCUAACUCUUCCUCGGACUCGGUUUCGUGCUCGUAUGUCGGGUCCUCUUCUUCCUCGGUCUCGUACUCGAUAUCCUCCUUAGCCGGUUCGUCGAUUACUAAGGAAGCGCUGGAUGCUCCUGAUUUGCUGCUCUUCUUUUUCCCAAAAACAGUCUUCAAAUUGGACAAGGGUGACUUCUUUGGUGUACUUGAACUCUCCACGUCCUUUCCCUUGUUUCUUUUCAAUGCGGUUUCGGGAUCUUCAAACGGGGGUACCAGCGGGGUGUUUGAUCCUCUGGUCAUGAAAGUCCUGAAAUAAACAGAAUAAAAGCGUAAAAAGAACAAAAAAAAUUGUACUAAAAGAAAUCGAAAAUUUAACUGCUGAUUACGCUGCUACUCGCCGAGUAGGUGCGACUGCACUCGGCGAGUACCAGUGUGUUUUUGAAAAAAUUAUAAACUUAAUAUUAAAACUAAAACAGAUACUAAAACCUAAUUACUGACUACUAACUGCAAUAAAGUAACUUUAUGCAAGUAAACUCACACAAAGGAUCGAAAAAAUUAGGAAUUAGAUUAAUUAUUUAGAACCGUUCCCCGGCAACGGCGCCAAAAACUUGAUGUGUGUAAAAUGCACUUGUUUUAUUCCCUACUUUUAUUAAUAUAUUUAGCACACAAAGGCAGUGAACCUGUCUUUUAGUGGUAUAGUUUAGUAAGUAAGGUGUCGAACUCAGGGAACGGAAAAUUAAACUAAUAACUAAUUUUAACUAAAACAAUUAAUGAAAGUAAAAGGUUUUUCUUCUAGUUUUACAAGACUAGAAACUUAAGCAACACUUAAUUAACUAAAUGACUAAAGCAAACAACUAAUUCACCAAAUUUGAUAAAGAUGUUUCUAUUUAGGUUCAACCAAUUCACUCCUAUGGUUAUUUGUAUUUAUGAUAGAUUAAUUGUUAUUGGCUACCAAUUAAAGUGGUUAGGUUCAUGUUCAUUACUCCUAACCCUUAGACAAUUAACUAAUUUAAGCGGUGAUCAAAUGUUUAAACUAAUUAAUUCCCUAGAUUAAUGAUUUGGAUUAAAUAAGAUUUGUAGUGGUGAAUCAAUUUAGUAAAUCAAUUAACCUCUUGUUUGAUGGUUUCUCAAACAAGCUCACACAUUAAUCUAAUUAUUGUCUUAUUAAUCUUAGUUUCAUAAUCAUUAUUCCUAAGCAUAUGAAUUAGUGUUCACAUAGACAUAUGAGGUUAACAACUAAGAGAUGUUCAUGCAGCUUAAUUGUCUUCCAAUUAACAGAAAAUAAUCGUGAUUAAUGCAUAAGGGUCUUUAACAAACUUAAUUUAAUAGAUCACUAAUAAACAAUUAAUCAAAAACUAAGAAUUAAACCAUAGGAGUUCCUUGGUAUUCCCCAAACAGAAACAAAAACGAAAUUAGUUCAUAGUUGCAGUAAAAUCACACACAAAAACAAGUUCAACUAGAUUAGACAUACUCAAAUCCUAAAGCUAAGUGGAAUGAUUAACCUAGUUGCUUCAAUUCUUCAAAAGGUUGGAGAUUAGAAUUCCUCAGCGUCUUCCAGUGCUCUCAAUCGCAGAAGGAUCUUCAAAAAUCGCCAAAAGUGUUGUCCCAUCAGAUAAAGGUUUGAUUUUUAUAGAUAUCUCAAAACAGGGGGUACUCGGCGAGUAGCAGACCCAACUCGCCGAGUAGACUCGUUGUUAUCUGUCUUAGAUCAGGAGUCGUGUCUAUCUUCUGGAAUAUUCAGCUAGACUCGCCGAGUAUACUCGUGUACUCGCCGAGUAGAUGGUCUUUUGUUCCUCAAUCUUCAUUCUUUGGUCUUCAAUUGCUUUCCCUUGCUCCCUUUUACUCCCAAGCAUGUCUUUUGAACUGAAAACAAAAUUUAAACAAUAUUAAGUACCUUUUGUCCUUAUUAUUCACAUAAUUAGUUAAAAAUGAAUAAAAAUGUAUACUAAAUAAUUAACUAAUUAUGCACAUAUCAAGGGAAUUUCGUCCCGAAAUUCGUUCGAGAGUAGCCCUUAAGCACUAGAGAAGAGAUGGGGGUAGUUUUGCAAUAGACCCGAGGGCUUCUGAUAUUCUAUCUUUACUUUAGCGCAAGUCAGACACUUUCUCACAUAGGUAGCAAUUUCAGCUUUCAUAUUCGGCCACCAAUAAUGUUGUUUGAGAUCCAGGUACAUUAUGUUGGAACCCGGAUGGACAGAGUAUCUUGUCUUGUGGGCUUCAUUCAUGACUAUAUCUCUGAAACCUCCGAACUUAUGGGUCCAGAUCCGAUCCAUGAGGUAAUAGGCUCCAUCAUCCUUGAUUGUAAGUUUCUUAUCCAUUCCAUGCAUGGCUUCGUUUGCGACGUUUUCUGGUAUCAAGGUUUCCAGCUGAGCCUCCUUGAUUUGUGAAGACAAGUAGGAAUGAAUGGUCAUCGUUAGUGUUCUCACUCGGCGACCCGAGUAUUCUUUUCUGCUUAGGGAAUCGGCCACCACAUUGGCCUUGCCCGGUGGUACCAGAUCUCACAUUCAUAGUCGUUCAGCAGCUCAACCCAUCACUGUUGUCUGAUGUUUAGUUCUUUCUGGUUUAGGAUAUGUUGGAGGCUUUUGUGGUCUGUGAAAAUGGUGCACUUCGUCCCGUAGAGGUAGUGCCUCCAAAUAUUUAGAGCGAAGACCACCGCUCCCAGCUCAAGAUUGUGAGUGGUAUAAUUCACUUCAUGGGUUUUUAGCUACCUUGGCACAUAGGCUAUAACUUUUCUGCGCUGCAUAAGUACAUAACCUAACCCCUGAUUGGAUGCGUCACAAUAAACUAUGAAAUCUUCUGUUCCCUCUGGAAGAGAUAACACCGGAGCACUGCAGAGGGCUUGUUUCAGGGUUUGAAAGGCAACCUCCUGUUUCGUCUCCCAGGUGAAGGGUACACCCUUCCGGGUUAGAGCGGCGAGUGGCUUGGCGAUCUUGGAGAAAUUCUGAAUGAACCUCCUGUAAUAGCCAACGAGGCCUAAGAAUUACCUGAUCUCCAUUGGGGUUCUCGGGGUUGCCCAACCCUCGAUCCCUUUGAUCUUGGAUAGGUCCACAUAUAUUCCCUCUUCACUGACCACGUGUCCCAGAAAGUCCACUAUGCGGAUCCAUAACUCGCACUUGGAGAAUUUCGCGUAUAGCUUCUUCGCUCUGAAUGUUUCCAAAACCUACCACAAAUGUUGGCCGUGUUCUUCUUUACUUCAUGAAUAAACCAGUAUGUCGUCGAUAAAAACUAUCACGAAGUUGUCAAGGAAAGGUCGGUAGACUCGGUUCAUCAGGUCCAUAAAUGCUGCAGGCGCAUUCGUUUGACCGAAAGGCAUUACCACAAAUUCAUAAUGCCUGUAACGAGUUUAGAAGGCGGUUUUAAGGACAUCUUCUUCUCAGACAUGCAGUUGAUGGUAUCCAGACCUUAGAUCUAUCUUCGAGAAGUAACUGGCUCCUUGUAACUGGUCAAAUAGAUCAUCGAUCUGAGGAAGAGGGUAUCGAUUUUUUACGGUGAGCUUGUUGAAUUCACGGUAAUUGAUACACAUGCGGAAAGAACCAUCUUUCUUUUUAACAAACAAAACAGGAGCUCUCUAAGGAGAGAAGCUCGGUCUUAUGAACCCUUUGUCUUGUAACUCGCUCAAUUAUCUGGAGAGCUCUUGCAUUUCUGCAGGGGCUAAUCUAUACGGUGAUUUGGCAAUUGGCGUGGCUUCGAGUACCAGGUCAAUCUGAAAAUCGACCCGCCGUUCAUGGGGUAUUCCUAAUAGGUCUUCAGGAAAUACGUCUAGAAAACCGCACACCUUCGGGAUGUCCUUGAUGCUCUUUUCUUCGUUCUUUUUAUCCACCACGUGUGCUAGGAAGGCUUGGUUCUUUUUGUGCAAGCACUUUUAUGCCUUGAUGCACGAGAUGAGACGGAGGCUCGUGCUAGGUUUAUCUCCAUAAAUCAUCAGGGUUUCAUCGUGGGGUAGGUGAAGGCGAACGGCCUUCUCGUAGCACAUAAUAUCAACAUGGUGGGGGCUUAACCAAUCCAUACCGAUGAUCACAUCAAAGCUUCUAAUAGUAACCGACAUCAAGUUGAUUUGGAAUGAGUUAUUAUUUAAAGUUAAUGUGCACCCUAGAAAAUUCUCAUUAGCCAUUUCUACCGUGAAGGUUUCGUUUAACUUUUGGGAACUUUGAUUGAGUAAGUGUUUAAAUUUAUGACUCACGAAACUUCGUUUCGCCCCACUAUCAAAUAAGAUGCUUGCGUAGAUAUUGUUAAGGAGGAACGUACCAGUGACUACCGUCGGAUCCCUUACAGCCUCCUCAUGUCCCAUCGUGAGGACUCUACUUGUUUCUCAUGCAUUCUGAUUAUUGACUUGGGACAUUUUCUUUUGAAAUGGUCAGUAUCUCCUCACCCAUAACACAAUUGACUUGCCACUGCAUUGUUGGGUUGGUUGUUUUGUUGUGACGGUGCUCUGCAAUACCGAGUGGUGUACCCUCUUCGGUUACAGUUGGUGCACUGCAUAUCUCAACAUGUGUCGUUAUGGUGGAAAUUACAUUUAUCACAUUUUGAGAGAGAUCCUACAUAUGGCUUUGCAGGUGCUGGUGUAGCUGUUGUUGAUGUAGCAGGAGUGGUAGUAGUGUGAACUGCUAUGAUUUGUUGCUUCUUCCCAGACUCUUGAGUUUGUUUCACCUUCCUCUUCUUUCCCCAAAUUUUCUUGUUAUCAUCCCCCUUCUUUGAUUUAGUGACAUAAUUCUUCGUGCCCUUUUGUUCUCCAUGGUCGUAAAGCUUUUGCGCCAGGCGCUUGACACUGUUGAAUGUUGCUGGGUUUGCAGCAAUCACGUUCCCCUGAAUCGGGGGAGUUAGCCCCCAAAUGAGUCAUCUGACCUUCUUACUUUCAGAGGUGAUCAUUCCCGGGAACAAGAGCGCCAGAUCACGGAACCUGGAAAUGUAAGCUUCAAUGUCGAAAUCCUUUACAGUGAGAUUCCAUAGCUCUUGCUCAAGCUUCUGCACUUCACCCUUGGGGCAGUACUCAUCCAACAUCAUGUUUUUGAGUUCCCCCCCACGCCAUGGAGUUUUCUACUGGUAUAGUUAGAGCCUUGACAUGGCCGUUCCACCAUUAGAGGGCCCUGUCGGAAAAUAUACAAGCUACGAACUUCACUAUAAUUUCUUUAGGACAGUCGUAGAUUUCAAAGACAAAUUUGAUCUUUUCAAACCAUACGGUGAGGGUUAUCACACCUCCACUCCGUUAAAUGGUCUUGGCUUUACGUUGGAUAAAUCCUUAUAUGUGUAUGUUCUCUGAUGUCAUGGAUUACCUCUGUGAUUGGAACUCCCCGUUCCAUUUCCAUUCCCUCCUCUAUUUGUUCCAUUGUUGUUGAUAUGUGCCAGUGUUGCAGUAACUGCAACUGAGACUGCUGCCUGGAAUGCGGCCGAAUCCAUUUCUGGUGUAGGCGGUGGUGAUGGUGUUGCUGUUGUGUUGUUUUUGCGAUUGUACCUUUGGGCCAUUUCAUGCUAUAAGUUGGGUAUGACGAUAAGUUUAUGGAAACCCUUUUUUUUAAUGGUUAAGGUGGUUCGAUUGUACUUAUAAUUGAAACUGUAUUAUAUCAAAUAAAAAUGAAAAGACAGAACAUAGCAGACAACAACACCACAAAUAAAACACAUAAUCGUUUCAUUAAUGAUAAUGCUUAGUACAUAAUGCAUGAAAAUUGACCUUUUUAAAAAGGUCUACAGUACAUCAAUGGUUCAAAUCUGACAGCGUAACGACCCUACGAGUAGUGUGAUCACUUAAAUGUAGGGUCGCUCCUACAUACAUAGAGAAAAGAAAAGGGGUAGCACCAACGCAUACCAAUAACCAAAUCUAUAGCAAGCGGUGAGUAGGAUAAGUCCUACUCAUGACGAGUGAUCCUUGUUGGUGCCUGUGAUGAGGUAGAAGCGCCCUAGAGCUCAACAAUCCACACCCUCUCCUCCAAAGCAGCAUGUCGCUCCUGGUACUCCCUUACCUCUGCUCGGGCAGUGGUAAGAUCCUCGAUGAGCUGCUCCCUCAGAUAGUGGUUUCUAUAGAGCUCCUGAGUGCGUGCAGUAGUGACCUCCAGAGCAGCCCUCAUCUCCAUGAAUCAAUGGGCUGUCUGUUGAGAGAAAAACUUGAGACACACUUGAACAAACGUUAGAACAAGUAUAGUUGUGGAAUAGUUUAUCUCAAAGGAUCUAAAAGCUCAACAAUAAUAAGUUAAAAAGUUAGAUAAUUAGAGAGUUAGUUGCGAAAAUGUAAGGAAAUAUAAAUGACAGCAGGUGAUAUAUCACGUAUACACAUAAGUUGAUUCAUAACAUGGAAUGCAUUCAGACCAAGUUAGUGAGUUAGAUCAAGCUUAGUGAUAAAGUCACGAAUGACUUGCUCCGAAGAGAAGUAAUAAUUAGUUAUGUUCUAGAGAACUUUGAGAGUCAGGAGAGAUUUAAGAUGCGUGAGAAGAUAGAAGUGAGAGAUGUAAAAAUGAUAGUCUCUAAGAUUAUAUUAACUGAGAAAGAAUGAGCUCUAUAUAUAGAGACUCAAGAAUUACAUUGGAUCAAAUCUAUAAGAGUAGCCAUGCAAGGCAUACUGGACAAUAGAGAGUAUUACAUAAAAGUAGAUAAAGUUAAACUAAGUAAAGAGUAAGUAAGACAACGGUUGGAUGAUGACUUCGGAUGAGGUUGCCGAGGAGGGUUUAACUGCGGAUCCUUGAGGGAUGCGGUAGCUCUAGUUCAAGAGUGACACUUUUAUGAUUUAACAAUUUCCCCUAAGUGACCUCUUUAACUUUUCUUCACUUAUCAAGUUUUAGGAACUUGAUCAGAAUCCACCAAAACUUUCUGAUAUUUUCCAACCAAAUGAUCCUUCUUAAAAUCUCGAACUUGACUUCGACAGUCGUGUGUUUUGAUUUUUCUACUGCGGUUCGACAGAUUUCAAGUUGAUUCCUUGUAAGAAGAUUCAUGGAGGUCAUGGGAAUGAAGUAUUUCAUCUUAUCGACCUUCCUUUUGAAAAUGACUCCAAGUUCAGGGAAAUUUGUUGCACCUAGGGAUCUCUCUUGAUAACCUUCGGCAGGCAUCGGUGUAGGAUCAAGUGGUGGUAGAUCAAACUUCUUGGCAAUUGUAGGGUAGAUGUCUGCAUCAAUCCUUGCAAAGUCGCAGACGGUUUCCUUCAGAAAUGUGCUUGCCCUUUCAAGUGCUAUCUUCAUCUUUGGAUGCUUUUGCAUUUGUUUUGGAACACCUUUGCUAUUAGAAAGUCUUCUUCUGGAUUCAUACAUGGGAAGUCAGCUUGGGUGCGGACAUAGUCCUGAUUCCUUCUUGUAAGUGUGUAUUGAAUGAAGUCAACUUUCAUGAAUUUCCGGGGCUUGAAGUUCUUUACUGUGGAUGGUCUAUCAUUAGACCAUAUUUUCUCUAUGGAAGAGGCAUGUUUGGCAUAGAAUCGAUUGAGUCUCUCGAAUUCCAUGGGCAGUCUUUUGUGAUCCGGUAGGCUAUGGUCAAACUGCUCAAAUACAGUGAAGUAUUUAGCAUUUGGGGAGAUUGGAACAUCCCAGUAAGCAUAGGUAAGGUAGGGUUUGUAGUCAUCAUCCAGUAGUCUGCGGUGGGGAUUGAUCCAGGAGUUGACUAGGGAUUCAUCCAUGGUGAUGUCUAAUCCGUUAUCUCUCCAAACGAGUUCAACAAAUUUGGCUGCUUUCCAAUUUGCUUUCUUCUGUAUCGUUGCGGGAGAGUCGUUGGAGUGUUCGGAUGACAUAUUGGAUGCUAUAUUCUUGAAGUGAGGGGGAGUCUCAGGUCACUCAUGAGAAAUUUUAUGUUGAGAGGGAGAGUGAUGUUGCAGUGGUGUUUGGUGAGUAGAUGGUUGCGGUGAGGGAUUUUUUUCAAUUAUGAUGGUGGGGGGGGGGCUUCUAUGAUGAGAAACGCUGUUUGAGUGAUGGUCUUCUUCACUUCCCCCUCUUGAGGAAUGCAAAUCCGGAGCUUCCUCAAGCCAUUGUUUGAGACCAUCGAACUUGGCACACACCUCCUAAAAUUGAGCUUUAAGAACAUCAGCCAGUUGCUGAUUGUUUGGGAUAGCGGUGCUGAAGAGUAGCCAAUGAAUCUCCUUUGUGAGUUGUAGAAUUUCAGGGCAUGAAAAUUGGACGAUAAGGAUCGUUGAAGUCUGUUGAUGGUUGAAUGAAGGACUGAAAUAGUGGACUCAUAGGCAGUGUGAGUCUCAACUAUCAGUUUCCGUGAGUGGGUUGACUGGGCCGCAAUGGUUGUUUGUAAAUCUGUCUUGAUUGCGGAUAUCUCAUAGAUGAGGCGCUCCGCAGCAGCCAUGAAUUGCUUGUGAUCAGCUUGGCGACUUGUAUCCAGGGAUCGGAUUCCCAUUUCAAAUUUUAGAGAUAUUUGGUUAGCAUCCAGUCUUUCACGGGUUUCCAGUCUUUCAAUUCUUUCGAUUAAGGACUGCGGUCCUGGAUGGUCUUCAGAAUACGGUUGAGUGGACUUGACCGUAGCAAGAAUUUGAUCUACUUUGGAUUGUAGACUCAAAAAUUCUUUUCUAGACACAACCAUCUUCUUUUUGUUCCUCCUUGCACAAGGCCUGAGAAUUACACGGUUAGUUUAGGCAUCCAAACUAGUUUGGAGUCUGGGACAAAGGAUGAGUUUCUGAUUGAUGCAUGAAUUGAGGUUGCAGGGACUGGUUUCGUGUCAACUUUCAAUCCUAGUCCUGGGUGUUUGCGUUUUUUUUUUGAAAAAUUACAAGGUUUCUGAAAAGAAUCAGAUUUGACAUGAGGUAAACCUUUUUGACAACUGCAUUGACAUUGGCACACUGAAAAUUUGUCUUUUGUUUUGAAACUUUGUUUGGUCAGCGGUUUGAAAGAUGAGGUACGCUUGUGACCAGUCUGAAGUUGGUAAAAUCUGACAUUGGUGCUGUUGGAGUUUGAGAAAGUUCGUUUCAAAAAAGAUUUAGCACGUGUAGAUUCUUUGGACCUUUUUCUAGGAUUUGAUAAAAUUCCCUGCCACUUGUUGAAAUUUUGAUGUGAUUUUUAAAGUGUUGGAGUGGGUAAGAUACCUUUCCAUUUUGGAUCAUCUAAGGAAUAGAUUUGAAAACCAUUGCUUUGAAAAGACCUUUCUUUCUUUUGGGUUGUGUCAGACGAGUUUUGAAAUUGCUGAAUUCAUUGAGUGCAGUUGUGAGCUUCUUAUCUUGAGCUUGUUCUGAGCCUUCGUAUAAAUUCUUGAGAACUUCCCAUAUCUAUUUUUCUGAGUUGCAGUUUAUGAUAAUGUCGAAGUUGUCAGGGGAAACUCCAUAAGAGAUUUCAUAAAAAGCAACAACAUCAUUUUCCAUUUUAUCGAGAACAUCUUUGGUGGGACGGUUCAUGACUGGUGACCCAUCUGCAUACUCCAUAAGAUAUUUAAUAAAAAGCAACAGCAUCAUUUUCCAGCAGAGAUCCGAACCGAGGGCAGCAUAAGAUGUUUGAUUGCAGUUCUAGGGUUGCUGACCGAGGUUGUGGAUGGGACCUGAGAGGACUUCUGUAACAUCCCAAAAUUCAAGCCAAAAAAUUUCAUUUUAAUUAUUUAUUUCAUAAAAGCAUUCAUUAGAAAAUACUGCCCCAACAUGUCAUUUCAUAAAACAAUGUAUCAUGUUCGAAACCCACGUCAUAAACAAAUAUCAUAUCAGAGUACAAGCUCAGAAAACUUCGUGCGGAAAAUCAUAUGUGUGUGUCAUGUCAUGCUACGCCGCCGGCUCCUUCCCCUUAGAUGAAGACGUACCUGAAACCAAAAACUGAAACCAUAAGCACAAAGCUUAAUGAGUUCCCCCAUCAUACCACAUACCAUACAAUACCAUCGGUAUCUUUCAACCGGUACUCAUCAUCGGUAUCUUUCAACCGGUAGUCAUCAUCGAUAUCUUACAACCGGUAAUCAUCAUCGAUAUCUUUCAACCGGUAAUCAUCAUCGGUAUCUUCCAACCGGUAACUGGGGUCUAUUCCCCCCCCUACUACUAGCAUACAACAACAAGGUAUAAUCAUACAAUCAGGCAUAUUAGAGUACUGAACUACCCUUCGGUCCUAAGGACUACUGUCAGGGGAAAACUAUCCCUAUCAUACACGUAACAUAUCAUACAGAUAUAUCUCAUAACCAAACACGUAUCCAUACCAAGAUAAUUAUCACAAAGACAAUCAUCUUCUAAAAUACUCCUACUUGGUGGGCCGACGUUGUGGUCUUAGACCCACCCCUACUGGAAGGUAACUCACCUCAAAAGGCUGGCUGCUGAAAAGCUGAUCUACAAAUGUGUGACAGCCGCUCCGGUGAUCCCCUAACUAUAUUUCCAUAAAACACUUAAUCAGACAUUAAUACUAUUCCCAGGGUAAAAUGACUAUUUUACCCCGGACCGAUUCCAAACCAAAGUCAAGUCAAAGUCAAAGUUAACUUCCAGUCGACCCGGCUCACCGAGUUGGCUUGCCAACUCGCCGAGUCCAUAUCUAGUCGAUUGUCCUUACUCUCGUCUCUACCCGUCGAGUUAGGCAUUGACUUGACGAGUUCACUUCCUAACUGAUACUCAAUGGUCCUUCAUCCGACUCGCCGAGUUGUAUGAACAACUCGUCGAGUUAAUCUUCAUCCGAUGAACACGUUCUGUCCUCAACUCGGCGAGUUGAUGAACAUCUCGUUGAGUUCUAUGAAGAUUUCCCUGGACUCGCCGAGCACCUUCAUGCAUUCGCGGAGUUCCAUGAACUUUCAGAUAAAUGGCUUAGCCCAAAACGUUGGGUCACUCCCCGGAGACCCCCUUAAAACCUAUCCACACUCAACUGGGUCCUUUCGACCCUCAACAGAAUGGGACAGAACCCCUAAGACUCGUCGAGUCCAAGAAUGGAAUCGCCGAGUUGGUCACGUCCAUACCCUAAAUCUUUGCUUUCUGAUGUACAUCCUUUGAUCAAAAGAUAGAUCCAAGCUUCUACAAUCGAUCUAGCACGUAAAGUUACAAACUUUACGUGCUUGCAUGGGACUUUGAGCUGAAAAGGACAUAAAACAAGCUCAUAUGGCACAUGUGACCUUUCAUGGGUGCAAAAGCAAUCUAAAUCUGUGUAGUGACUCCUUUCAUGAUGUGAUUUAGAAGCUUAAACCCCCAACCAUGUUUGCAAACAUGGUUGGCCACCAAAAAUGGCUCAUAAAAGCCCUAAACCUCCCCAAAAAGGGAUCUAACAAAUGAAUGAGCAAGGUUACAACUUUUUACCUUCAAUGAGCUGAAGAAGGUGCACAAACUCAGGUUCCCUUGAUCUCUACUUGCUUCCUCAAGCUUCUCUCCUUCCUUCUUAAGAUCACAAGCACCAAAAUCCACCAACAAGGAUUAGAUUGCUUCAAAAACGACUAGGGUUUCAGUGAGGGGUGUUUGGGAGCAUAAAGGAGUGAUGGAGGCUGCAUAAGGUCGUUUAAAUAGGGUGCAAACCCAUGGAUUAUGGUUUUUGUCCAGACAGCGGCUACUCGCCGAGUCCACAGCUUAAACUCCACGUCUCAUCCCGCUUCUACUCGGCGAGUCAGUCCUUCUACUCGCUGAGUCCAAGGCCAAAAUUGCAAAUCAUUUAAUGAAUUAAAUACAGGAAUACGUACCAAGAACCAGGUGCUACAAAUUUCCCCCACGUAUUUUAGACUUCGUCCUCGAAGUCUGCUGCUCGCUCCUGAAACAACUCGGGGUAAUGCUCCAUCAUCUCGUCCACCGGCUCCCAAGUCCACUCCGACCCCUUCCGGUGCUGCAAUUGCACCUUCAUGAGUUCCACUCUUUUGUUCCUUAGAUCCUUCGAGUUCCGGUGAAGGAUCUCUACAGGCCGCUCGAUGUAAUUCAGGCUGUCAUCAACUUGAAUGUCCUCCAAGGGUAUCACCGCUGAGUCGUCCACCAGGCACUUCCGCAGCUGGGAGACGUGGAAAGUGCUGUGGAUAUGACUGAGUUCGGUUGGAAGAUCCAGCCGGUACGCCACCUUGCCCACCCGGGCUACAACCCUAAACGGUCCAAUAAACCUGGGACCCAGCUUGCCCUGCUUCCUGAAUCGGAUGACGCCCUUCCAAGGCGACACUUUCAGGAGAACCAUAUCCCCGAGCUGGAACUCUAGGUCUGAUCGACGCUUAUCGGCAUAACUUUUCUGCCGACUCUGAGCAGUCUGAAGCCUGCUCCGGACCUGCUGAAUCUUCUCUGUCGUCUUGAGCACUACUUCGGUGCUCCCCAUGACCCUCUGGCCAACCUCGCUCCAACAUAUCGGGGUCCUGCACCUCCUCCCAUACAACAUCUCGAAGGGAGGACGGUCGAUACUCACAUGAUAGCUAUUAUUAUACGAGAACUCCGCCAACGGAAGGUAGGUAUCCCAGCUACAUCCAAAGUCGAAAACACAUGCCCGCAGCAUGUCCUCCAGAGUCUGGAUGGUCCGCUUGCUCUGGCCAUCCGUCUACGGGUGAAACGCGGUGCUGAAGUGCAGACGAGUACCCAACUCGUCGUGGAAUUUCUUCCAAAACCUGGAUGUGAACCUCACAUCCCUAUCCGAAAUCACCGAAACUGGCACUCUGUGCCGCGCCACCGCCUCCCUGAUAUAGAUAUUGGCCAAUUUCUUGGUCGAGAUGCUCUCCUAAAUCAGGAUAAAGUGGGCGCUCUUGGUCAAUCGAUCGACGAUGACCCAGAUCGAAUCCACUCCCCGAGCGGUCCUGGGAAGCUUGGUGAUAAAAUUCGUCGUGAUGUCUUCCCAUUUCCAUAGCGGAAUAUUCAAUGACUGCAUCUUGCCGUGCGGUCUCUGAUGCUCGACCUUGACCUUCCUGCAGGUUAAGCACCGCUCCACGUACCAUGCCACAUCCCGCUUCAUGCAGGGCCACCAAUAGUCCAGACGAAGAUCCUUAUACAUCUUCGUUACCCCGGGAUGAAUGGAGAACCGGGAUUUGUGCGCCUCCUCCAUCAGAACCUGGCGCACGCCUCCAUGAUAAGGGAUCCACACCCUACGGUGAAGAGUCAGUAACCCUUGGCUAUCAUAGUCGAAGGAGGAAACCUGCCCCACAAUCCGCUCACUCUUCCAAUGUUCCUCCUUCAUAGCCUCCUGCUGAGCCUCCCGGAUCCGCUCCAACAGCAGAGUCACCACUGUCAUCCUUAGGCAAAUAUCUCGGAUCGGCGAUGCCUUACGGAUAAGCGCGUUAGCCACCACAUUGGCUUUCCCCGGAUGGUAAAGGAUCUCACAAUCAUAAUCCUUUACCACGUCAAGCCACCGAUGUUGCCUCAUGUUCAGAUUCGGCAGGUCCAUGAGAUACCUCAGGCUCUUGUGGUCCGUUUAGAUGGUACAACGAACCCCAUAGAGGUAAUGAUGCCAAAUCUUAUGGGCAAACACAACAGCCCCCAACUCCAAAUCAUGCGUCGGGUAGUUCGCCUCGUGAGGCUUCAGCUGCCUCGAAGCGUAAGGAAUAACGUGCCUUCUCUGCAUCAAAAUUGCACCCAAACCCGAGAUGGACGCAUGGCAGUACACGACAAAAUCCUCCAUGCACUCUGGCAGGGCUAAGAUUGGCUCCUCGCACAAUCUCUGUCUCAACGUCUCGAAUGCAGCCUGCUGCUCAGGCCCCCAACGAAAAACCACGGCUUUCCUCGUCAGCCUGGUCAGGGGUACGACUAUCUUGGAGAAGUCCUGAAUGAAUUUCCAAUACUAGCCCGCCAAUCCUAGGAAGCUACGAAUCUCGGAUGGAGACCUCAGGACCUCCCAUCUCAUCACGGCCUCUACCUUAGCCGGAUCCACUGAUAUCCCGUCCUGGUUGACAAGGUGCCCCAGAAACUACACCUCGCGCAACCAGAACUCACACUUAGAGAACUUAACAUAUAAGCUCUCCCUCCUCAAAGUACUCAGAACCUCACGCAAGUGCUCCUCAUGCUGCUCUCGCGUCUUGGAAUAAACCAAGAUAUCGUCAAUGAAAACAAUCACAGACCGAUCCAACAUCGGCUAGCACACGGGAUUCAUGAGAUCCAUGAACGCGGCUGGAGCAUUGGUGAGCCUGAAAGGCAUCACCACAAACUCAUAAUGACCAUAGUGUGUAUGAAAAGCAGUCUUUCUUAACAUCCUCCUCUCUGACCCUCAUCUGAUGAUACCCUGAUCGCAAAUCAAUCUUGGAGAACCAAGAUGCUCCCUGAAGCUGGUCGAUGAGGUCAUCGAUCCUCGGGAGUGGGUAACGAUUCUUCACUGUUACCUUAUUCAGCUCCUGAUAGUCUAUACACAUCCGAUGCGACCUGUCCUUCUUCUCCACAAACAUAAUCAGGGCUCCCCACGGUGAACUGCUCGGUCUAACGAAUCCCUUGUCUAACAGCUCCUAUAGUUGUGUAGGCAACUCCUGCAUCUCAGGAGGAGCCAACCGAUACGACGCCUUGGCUAUCGGAGCCGCACCAGGGACUAGGUCGAUCCUAAACUCCAUCUGCCUCUCCGGAGGUAUCCCAUGCAACUCCUUAGGGAAUACAUCCAUAAACUCCCGCACCACGGGUACAUUGCCCACUGUCGCCUUACCCGCCUCCCGGGUGUCCAUAACAUACACAAUAUACCCUGCGCAACCCUGCUGAAGGUAGCGCCUAACUCUCGCUGCUGAACAUACAGCUGGUCCUCGCUGUGGCCUCUUGCCCUACACUACCAACUCUCCCCCACCUGGGGUCCUGAUCCGUACUAGCUGAUGUGCACAAUCUAUCACGACCCCAUUGGGGCUCAACCAAUCCAUGCCUAUAAUAACCUUGUUCCCCCAUAACGGUAUGGGAACCAAGUCUACCAGGUAACGUUCCUCGAACAACCUUAAAACACAAUCUUUGUAGACCUCCAAUGCUCGCACUGAUCGGUCGUCUGCAAUCUCGACCUCUAGAGGGCAGUCCAACAUGUCCAACGUCUUAGGAAACUUCUUGCUAAGCGCAAGAGAGACAAAUGAUCGGGUAGCACCCGAAUCAAACAACACCUGAACUGGGAUACCGUUCACAUGGAACGAUCCUAAACGCAUAUACACAGAGCACAUAUCAAUAUCAUAACAUCAUACAAAUAAAUAAGAGGAAAAGAAUCAUACCCGUCACCACAUCGGGUGCAACGCGUGCCUCCUCGGCUGUCAGCUGAAAUGCUCGGCUCCAAACCACUGGAGCCUCCGACUUGACUUCUGGCCAUCCAUAACCCGUGCUGUCACUGACGCUGGCGCCACUGCCGGCGCUGCUGCUGCUAUCAACCUGGGACAAUUGACCUUUUUAUGGCCUCUCUGAUUGCAAUGGAAGCAAAUCAGGUCUAAUGUCUGAAUCGCAGAAGCAGGGGCAGUACAAUCUCUGCCAAAAUGCCCCACCUUGCCGCACUUAUAACAUCCUGAACCCGACCCAGUGCGACAAACUCCCUCAUGUGACCAACCGCAUUUCCCACAGCGGUCCUGCCCUAACUAGCCUUUCGCCUUGGGCUUCUUUCCCGGAGCCCCCAUCGCCUGCCCCUCAGCGGCCUUCCUCUUCCGUAUGUGCUCCAAAUCAAUCUCUCUCUCCCUAGCCCUGGAAAUCAUGGACUCUAGGGUAGGGCAAGCAGAGAAACUAACAUGUUCCCAAAUAUUAGCCCGUAGCAUGUCAUGGUAUCGGGUCCUCUUCAUAUCCUCAUCCCCCGCAAACUGGGGGUACCAACAAGGCCCGUUCUCGGAGCUUGGCGGUGAUCUCUGCCACAGUCUCCGUAGUCUAUCUUAUAUCCAAGAACUCUCUGGCCAGCUGCUGAAGCUCCACAGCUGGUGCAAACUCAGCCCUGAAUCGGGUCAUGAAAUCUGACCAUGACAUAGCCUCUGGCUGGGGGNCCAAUCAACUCCCACCAAUCUCUGGAUCUAUCCCUCAAACAACCUGCAGUGAAACGGACCUUCGAACCUUUCGAGCAGAAGCUCGUCAGCUGCCCAGACUCGAUGUCUGCGAUCCAUCUCCUAGCAGCAAUGGGGUCCUUCACCCCAUGAAAAUCCGGUGCACCACUCCCACAAAAGUCCUUAAAGGACAGUGUACGUGUACCCACCUGGCUAGACGUCAGAUCACUCAUGAAUGCCCAGAGGCGAUCCUCCAUCAGCUCGAUAAUCCCUUCCUUGAUCGACCCGAAAAUGACCCGGGUCGCCUCAAGGAUACCUCUCGUAAUCUCAGACCUGAUGAACUCGCGUAUCCCAUCAUCGACAUGCUCAGAGCCUGCUCCCGAACCCGAUCCUGAACCAGAUCCUAAUCCCCCUGCUCCAUGACGUGCGACCACCAUUCUAAAAAUAAUAACACAAUUGUCAGGAUCACAUAUACCCCGAAAGGUCUCACACACUCUCCAAGUUUCCAGGUUCCAUCUCGACCCUCCAUGAAUCGAGUACGGAUCCUCUGCUUUCAGUAGUACGGGCCCAUACUACCUUCCACAUCUAUCUGUACUUUCCUCAAGGAUUGCCUUGACUUCACCAAGUCCCUUUUCACCGAUGCUCUUCCCACUGAUCACAUCCUAGGUUUCCCUAGGGCACUCUCCGACAUACUCCCCGCCAUCAGCUGCAUUAGGAGUCCUUACCGCGUCCCCUUAACUAGUUUGUGGAUACUGUUACAUAUCCGUUCACUAGUUAGUCGAAGUUGGCCGGAAUCCCCAUAGCACAAGCAAACACCAUCCGUGCGUUGAGUAACCAAACCAGGCAUAACCUACAUAGGCCAUCCUACAGCUGACUAAACAGUCCUAGCAUACAGCUCAUACAACAACAUAUAAGGCAUCCUUCCUAGAUCCUUAGCCCUAACUAGCAUGCAAUUCUCAGAAUCAUAUAUCAGGCACACAAGGCAUCCUCCUAGACCCUUAGUCCUAUUCUAGUAUGUAGUUUCUUGAAUCAAAACCAUACAACAUAACAUAACAAGUAUGGGUAUCUUGGGGAAAGCUUACAUGAUCCCGGCCGGUUGCACGCAUCACACACUUCGUCUUUCUUAAAACUUCCCAUUUUAGAUUUUAGAAAACCAUUUUCCUUGUAAAAAUCUUUUAGUCCCUCGGUUUGAGUCCAGACACCCCCGAGGGUGCGUCCGAAUCCCUCAAACCAGGGCUCUGAUACCAACUUGUAACAUCCCAAAAUUCAAGCCCAAAAAUUUCACUUUAAUUAUUUAUUUUAUAAAAGCAUUCAUUAGAAAAUACUGUGCCAACACGUCAUUUCAUAAAACAAUGUAUCAUGUUUGAAACCCACGUCAUAAACAAAUAUCAUAUCAGAGUACAAUCCCAGAAAACUUAGUGCGAAAAAUCAUAUGUGUGUGUGAUGUCAUGCUACGCCGCCGGCUCCUUCCCCUUAGACGAAGAGGUACCUGAAACAAAAAAUUAAAACCGUAAGCACAAAGCUUAGCGAGUUCACCCAUCAUACCACAUACCAUACAAUACCAUCGGUAUCUUUCAACCGGUAAUCAUCAUCGGUAUCUUCCAACCGGUAACUGGGGUCUAUUCCACCCCCUACUACUAGCAUACAACAACAAGGUAUAAUCAUACAAUCAGGCAUAUCCGAGUACUGAACUACCCUUCGGUCCUAAGGACUACUGUCAGGGGAAAACUAUCCCCAUCAUACAUGUAACAUAUCAUACAGAUAUAUCUCAUAACCAAACACAUAUCCAUACCAAGAUAAUUAUCACAAAGACAAUCAUCUUCUAAAAUACUCCUACUUGGUGGGCCGACAUUGUGGUCUUAGAUCCACCCCUACUGGAAGGUAACUCACCUCAAAAGGCUGGCUGCUGAAAAGCUGAUCCGCAAAUAUCUGACAGCCGCUCCGGUGAUCCCCUGACUAUAUUUCCAUAAAACACUUAAUCAGACAUUAAUACUAUUCCCAGGGUAAAAUGACUAUUUUACCCCUGACCGAUUCCAAACCAAAGUCAAGUCAAAGUCAAAGUCAACUUCCAGUUGACCCGGCUCGCCGAGUUGGCUUGCCAACUCGCCGGUUCCAUAUCCAGUCGAUUGUGCUUACUCACGUCUCUACUCGUCGAGUUAGGCAUUGACUUGACGAGUUCACUUCCUAACUGAUACUAAAUGGUCCUUCAUCUGACUCGCCGAGUUGUAUAAACAACUCGUCGAGUUAAUCUUCAUCCGAUGAACACGUUCUGUCCUUGACUUGCCGAGUUGAUGAACAUCUCGUUGAGUUCUAUGAAGAUUGCCCUGGACUCGCCGAGCACCUUCAUGCACUCGCCGAGUUCCAUGAUCUUUCAGAUCGAUGGCUUAGCCCAGAACGUUGGGUCACUCCCCGGAGACCCUCUUAAAACCUUUCCACACUCAAUUGGGUCCUUUCAACCCUCAAAAGAAUGGGACAGAACCCCCUAGACUCGCCGAGUUGGUCACGUCCAUACCCUAAAUCUUUGCUUUCUGAUGUACAUCCUUUGAUCAAAAGAUAGAUCCAAGCUUCUACAAUCGAUCUAGCAUGUAAAGUUACAAACUUUACGUGCUUGCAUGGGACUUUGAGCUCAAAAGGACAUAAAACAAGCUCAUAUGGCACAUGUGACCUUUCAUUGGUGCAAAAGCAAUCUAAAUCUGUGUAGUGACUCCUUUCAUGAUGUGAUUCAGAAGCUUAACCCCCCAACCAUGUUUGCAAACAUGGUUGGCCACCAAAAAUGGCUCAUAAAAGCCCUAAACCUCCCCAAAAAGGGAUCUAACAAAUGAAUGAGCAAGGUUACAACUUUUUACCUUCAAUGAGCUGAAGAAGGUGCACAAACUCAGGUUCCCUUGAUCUCUACUUGCUUCCUCAAGCUUCUCUCCUUCCUUCUUAAGAUCACAAGCACCAAAAUCCACCAACAAGGAUUAGAUUGCUUCAAAAAUGACUAGGGUUUCAGUGAGGGGUGUUUGGGAGCAUAAAGGAGUGAUGGAGUCUGCAUAAGGUCGUUUAAAUAGGGUGAAAACCCCUGGAUUAUGGUUUUUGUCCAGACAGCGGCUACUCGCCGAGUCCACAGCUUAAACUCCGCGUUUCAUCUCGCUUCUACUCGGCGAGUCAGUCCUUUGACUCGCCGAGUCCAAGGCCAAAAUUGCAAAUCAUUUAAAGAGUUAAAUACAAGAAUACAUACCAAGAACCAGGUGCUACAACUUCGGAUCAAGGGCUAAAAAGGGCUGUGGGGAGGCUUCUUAGGGGACUCCGGAUGGCAGUUUUUGGCUGCAGUCUAGGGGGCUGAGAAGGCCUAAACAGAUGACGAAAAAUGUUAUUUUUCCAUGAAAAAUGGUACCUCAAAGUCCAUUUAUUCAUAUUUUAAUGAAGGAAUAUUUUUAUAAAGCAUUCUAAGUCAAAAGUGGGUCUUGGGAAGGCAAAAAGAAGAGUAUGCAGAUGGGUUUUAUUGGGAAAAAGGUGAUGGGAUUUGUCAAUGUCACAUGGCUUUUGUCUUUUUGAGGGAGUAAAUAGUGGAAUACUCUUUACCCAAAAGAGUAACAAGGACAAUAUGCUUUAUGCAAACACUUAAACACGUUCAUAUGCACUAAUUUGAAGAUUCACAACAACAAGUAAAAGAUAGAAUGUAUGAAUAUCAUACCUUUUAUGAUGAUCAUAAUAAACAUGCUGUAGAACAAAAAUUUUCUAGAAAAAGUUGCUUUCCUCCAAUAUCUUCAAGAAUAAUAAGCCCAUAAUUUUUGUGUCUUCACUUCCAAGAAAAAGAACCUCCUGGAGAAUAUCUUCAACAUUUUAGAGACCACAAAAAAGUAAUUUCUUCUCCCAUUUUUCUUCAUUUCUUCAACAACAAAAAUAAUAAUCUUUUAAGAACAUCUUUUUCCAGCAACAAAUAGAACAAGUAGCAGCAGCCAACUCCCUCUAUCUGCCUUCCUUUGCGUCCGCACCCAACUAGCUCGUCCACACCCAACCACCCCACUACACCCACUCCUCAUCCGCAACACCCUCCCUCCAUCAACACCUCCCUUGAUCCACAACUCUCAUCUCAGACUUCGGAUUCCUUCUCCUCUUCUUGCAUUGCAGAUAUCCAGUUUGGUUCUAGUAAUGCUUCUUUGAUCGUUCGGGGCUCGACCGAGGACCAAAACGCUGCAUAGUGACAGUGCUCGGAUAAGUCCUAGGAUGAUCGAGUCUGAAUACCUGCAGAUGGGUUGCCGAUGAUUUAACCUGGUGGGUAGUCUUUCGUCCAUACAUGUGGACGGGGUUGCAGAUGAUCAGCAGCUGCAGUAGAGGGAAUAUCUUCAAUAUCAGAAGACUCUACGGUUGGAGAUGGUAGUUCCCCCUGGACUUGAGAACAUCAUGCUGAAUUGUCUUGAAUUGGGAAGGUGGGAUUAGAGUUUUCUUGGGCAGAUAGUGAAGGUUCCCCCUGGAGUGCAGACAUGAGUUCCCCUUGAACCUGUGAAGGUUCCCCCAGGAUUGCAGACGGGAGAUGCGAUGUGGCACUUAUUUUUGGUAAUUACGGAUCAAAUUUUUGGCAUUACUCGAUGUUUUCCGAUUCAGAUUAUUUAUUAUUCGGACCAUGUCUUUGGACUCACAUUAUUUUUAUCCGGACUUCAUUGUAUGGAUGCUUCACAUUUUUAGCAGGUUAUUCUUUGAAGAAUUUCGGUGUAUUAUGAUUCGAGAACUCGAGUUGUUUUUCAGACUUUUUGAAGCCGAAGUGUUUCUUUUAUUGGAUCUUCUACUUGCUCAUGGUGACCUCCUUCUUCGAGUGAUUAUGACUGGUUUGAAGAUUUGGAUCUUAUCUUUUCUGCUUCAUUGGUUGUGCUUUGAAGCCGAAGACCUUUAUUUCAGAGAUUUAUGGCCAGUUUCAGACUUCACAGACACUUCAGUGUUUCACAGACAUUUCAGCACUUGAUUUCAUUUUAUUACCAUACUUACUAUUCGGAUUACUGUAUUAUAGCCUAGUAUCACUUGUUGUAUCUCUCAUAAUUUGUAAGCAUUUAGGGAGAGAAUGUUGGAGCAUGGAAAUGCUUUACAAAUAAUGAGUGAUAGUUAGGUUGUAUUUUCCCUUUAUUGUAUUUAUGGUGUAAAUACUCUCCCUCCUAUAUAAAGGGAGAGUUGGACAUUUCUUAUUUUAAGCUAGCUCACUUUUUCUUAUUUAGUGAUUACUUUUACUCUUCUACAAUAGAGAAAAGUGGUGGGUUCUCCCAUCCAGGGAGAGUUUCUCUCCCACUAUGUUCUUCAUGCAAUAUUAUUAUUAUUCUCUCUUUGUUCUUAGCUUUCUUUCCAUGAACUCAUAAUAUGUUCUUCAUGUUCAUACUUACAAAAACACGAUUAAUCUCGAGAUAUCUUACUUCCGCAUUCACCGUUCGUUAUAAAAUUGGGUUCCUACACUGUCUUUUGCGCCUGGUCCUAAAUGUCGGUAAUCCACCUGACCAUGACAAGAAGGGCUCGGUCCGCGGGCCCUCCAUGGAGAAGAUCGUAGAACCCUCGCUUCAUCCGGAACGGUGGACGUUGUCCCUAGUGUCGGCUCCAUCGCUCCAGGUUGUAGGCCCAAGGGGGCGUUGGGCCAUUAGGGCCCAAAUGAUGUAUUGGUACCCUCAUCAUGUAGGGCGGGCCGAUGACUUCAGACUCGGCGUCCAAAUCAUCGUCCUCUUCUUCCUCAUCGCAAAUCUCCUCGUCUAUCUCCUCUUCUUCGAUAUCUUCCUCCUCGAUCUCUUCCGGAUCCUCCUUGGGAUCCUCCUUAAUCCAUCCCCUGUUUACCUGAUUGGGGAAGUAUGGGUCUCCUGGGUGAUGGAAGCCCGCCAUAGUGUCUGCACGAGAAUAUAUAAGUACGAGAAAAUAGAUAGAAUGUUAAAAUACCUAUAUAGUAUUUUAUGUCUUUUAGUUUUGUUCUUAGACCCUCUUUUUGAUUUAUAGCCGAUAAGUUUUAGAUUUGUUAUCCACCUUGACCACUUCUAGACACAUGUUGGUUGUAUCUUGAAUAAAUAUAGCUGACCAGGCUAUAUUUACCCUAUAUAUGAUUACAUAACUGUGUAAGUUUAGUCGUGAUGUCCAACUCUUCGUAUUGUUUUCUAAUAUACAUGUAUGUUUGUACACUUUUAUAAAAUACUUAUAUUUUUAAAGUAUACUUUUAGUCAGAGUGUUUUAGUCCCAUUUCAUUUAUAGUUGUAUAUCUUGUAUGGUUAGAUAUACUAGUUCACUAUAAACAAUGCUCUAAUACCAAUGUGUCACACCCCCGAACAAGGACGGCGGAAACGUUCGGGGGCGGAUGACGUCAUUGUAUAGUAUCACAACAAUUGAAUAUGAAUGAAACUUAGCAACCAAAAAACAUACAUUAAAAGAUACCAUCACACAUUGUUUACAAAUUGUAUUUGUUCAUCUAAUUACACAAAAAUGACAUAAAGUGUGUGAAUUCAAAAAGUUGCGAAUCCGGUUCCGAGGUACCUGCUUACUAGUUCCCUGAGAAUACAAGUCAUUUGAAAAUCGUAAACAUUAAAUGUUGGUGAGUUCAUAAGCAUUUUUGGAAGAAAAGGUUUGUAACAUCUUUGUUUGUAAUAAUUUGUAAGUCUCCAAAAAAUCCGAUAUUUUCUUGUGAAAAAUGGUUUGUAAGUCUCGUUCUAGAACUAUGAAUAAUUGCAUGCAUGUCCUUUGUUUUCUUUUUGUUUGUAGUGGUAAAGUGUAGGUCCCCAGAAAAUCCAAUAUUUUCAGUUGUAUGAAAAAUUGUAGUCUUAUACCCUAAGACUGGAGUGGUGGUAAUAGUGCACUGAAAAACAAAGCGUAGUUUUGUAAUUUAUAAAACCAGUGAAGUGUAUACUCUUUGUAAAUCCAAAAUAACAUUGUUAAUCCCUAUGUGAGUCGUUACAACCAUGCUUGAUGUGACUGAUAUGCCUGUCAUGACGUUCUUGAGGUGUCGGUUUCGGUAAGAUAUUUGUCACCCUAGACCGGUCCAGUCUAGCUGUAGCGAACAACUCAGGUGUAUGGGUGUCAACCCCGUAUAGAUCUAUACACAAUUACCUCGCUCUCCCUCCAGGAAGCUUUGGUUAUAACUACAGGACUUACGGUGUAUGCUAGGUAGGUACGGUGAAGGAAAGUUGCACAUGAGCCUUAACAGAUUUACGCGAACUUUGACUCCCAUUAUUGAAUAAUGAAAUCGACAUUACUAGUGUAAAUUUAUGACUAAUGUUUUAUGACACGUGUUUUACAGCUUUAUGACAUACAACUUAUUACUCAUGCUUUAACAACUUUAUGAUAGACAUGUCUUGACAUGCGAAACUUUCUGUCACGAAUUCUGUUUUGUAUACCAUUUUGGUUAAAUUAUUUAUAAUACUUUUUAUAAAUAGUCAUUAGUGAACAUAUCGUAUAGCAUAAUUUCUCAAGUUUUUAAGCCAUCCAACAAAAUAGUGACAACUUAGUUAAGAAUAUUUUUCCAAUAAAAUUAAUACUACCAAAAUAUCAAGUUUUGUAGUUUGUUUAAUACACCAAAAAUUAUUUUGAGAGUUUUGUAACACAAAAUAUUCUAAUUUGUUGUGACCCUUGCAAGUCACGAUUUCCAAAAAAAUACAAAUAUGACCUUGAAAUUUAUUAUAUGCAAAUAUUUGUGUUAAAAAUGUAUAUGUCCAAAAGCUAAGCAUGUUUGAGCACAACACUCAUUUUUUCGCCAAUUUUGAGUGUGCAACCGACAUCCACAAGUUUUCAUGCAAGAUAUAUGUUAACAAACACAUUUCUCAUGGUUUUUAUGAAGAUGCAUAAGAUAAAAUCCAUGUUCAUGCAAUUACCCAAAGGUUAAAUACAUUACACAUAGGUCCAAGCAAUUAUCCAAUGGUUCAACGCAACUUAAACUAUAUCCCCUCCUCUCCCCCCGGCAAAAAAAAGUAUAAAAAACACGAAAAUAGUCGAGUAUGAAGCUCACCUUGAAGAUUUCGUGUGGUAGAAAAGAGGAAAGUGAAGAGAUUUCGAGCCUAGUCUUGAACCUCUUGAAGGUAUUCUCGAAAUUUCAAGUGUUUUUAAGCACUUAACACACAAAAAAAGUGUGUAAAAAAGAAGUUGGUAUCAUAAAAAUGUUUAGAAUUACAAGGCUACAAGAAGUUCUUACCAAAUGACUAAGAUUUUCCCUUGAAGUGAACUCCUUCCUUGAAGAUGGUCUCGAAAAUUUUGAGGGUAAAAUGAAAGGAUUUGAGAGAGUUUGGAGUGGGAUGAAUUUCAAAUCGGUGUUGUGUGUGUGGUGGGUUUCAGUCGAGAAUAAGAGGGAAGGGGGGGGGGGGUUGACUUUGUUGAUUAGAGGCUUGAGAUGAUACUUGCUUGGAAGUAUGGAGGUUAAUUGCCUUGUUAUUUGAAGGGUAAAAGUGAGGUGGCAAGGGUUUUUUCAUUUCUUUUUCUCUCUUUUUUUUUGUUUUAUUCAAGCCUUAGUCGAAACUAAGGGGGUUUGCGGCCUUAAGGCCUCUCAAGGGUUUUCAGUUUUAAGGGUGGCCGGAAACACCCUAAUUCCCUAAUGUGUUUGCGGUUUUUGAUGUGUGUAUCGGUCUUUGGGUGUUAUUUGAUCCAAUAGAAGGGUUUUCAGCCCUAUGGAAGGCCCAUUAGAAGUUUUCGGCCCAAUAAAGCCCAAAGAAAUGCUUUUCGGUCCGAUAAGGCCCAAAGAAAAGCUUUCAGCCCAAUAGGGCCCAAGGAUAAAUUUUCGGCCCAAUAGGGCCCAAGGAAAGAGUUUUCGGCCCAAUAGGGUGUUAGACCGAGAAUUCUUGGACGAAGGCCCAAAAUUGAUUGGGCUUAGCUAUUGGAUCGAUUUUUAGGGCUUGUAUGAGGCUAUUUUAAGUUGAAUCACAAUGUAUGCACGUAUGAAUUCGAAUAACAUUGUAGUUUGAAUUUUAUUUAUAAGAUGCAACAAGGUUACAUAGAGGAAUUUGUUGUGAAUAAGCUUCACAUCUUAAACCCUAAAUUGCUAGUUGUGACAGUUAUCAUAUGUACCCAAGUCAAUAUGUUUCGAAUAAACCAGAUAAAGUACGGACAAGAAGAAAAACAAAGACAAAGUCACUUGGUAGAAUUAAUCAUGUGUCUCCCAAGUCUGGUGAUGUUUGUUACUUACACAUUUUGCUUAAUAAAUUAAAGGGUCCUACUUUCUAUGAAGAUAUCAGGACAACUAAUUAUACCGUUUAUGAAUCUUACAAAGAUGCUUGCUAUGCUCUUGGUCUUUUAGAUGAUAACAGAAAGUACAUAUCUUCUAUACACGAAACACAUCAUUGGGCCAGUACUUCAUUCUACAGGUCUCUAUUUGUUAUGUUGAUUACAUCCGAUAGCCUAUCCCAUCUUCAUCAUGUUUUUAAAGAGACCUAUAAUUGUCUUUCUGAUGAUGUCGUUCACAUUAGUGAACAAGAAAUCGGCGUAACGGAUAUAUUUUCAAAUAAUCUAACCCAUUUACACUAAAAACAUUCUAAAAUUAAUUGAUAUUAGAAAUAAAUAAUUUCAUAAUUUUUUUUUUGUCUUUUCAGGCUUGAAGUUAAAACCGGAAGCAAUUUUCCACCUAACAUUGUCAUACAUUGAGAAAUCUUUAUUGAGUUGUGGACUGAGUUUGAAGCAAAUACCCAAUAUGCCGUUACCUGAUCACAAAUAUAUUCAAGAUUCUUGUAAUAUGUUAAUUCAAGAUGAGCUUAAUUAUGAUCCAUCCGAUCUUGAAGUCGAACAUCAACAACUACAUUCCAAAUUAAAUGUUGAGCAAAAAAAGGUUUAUGAUACAAUUAUGAAUGUUGUUAACACCAAAAAAGGUGGUGUCUUUUCCUGUAUGGUUAUGGAGGAACAAGAAAAACAUUUUUUUAGAAGACACUAUCUGCUGCUAUUAGAUCUAAAGGUGAAAUUGUUAUCAACGUUGCUUUAAGCGGAAUUGUAGCACUCUUGCUCUCUGGUGGUAGGAGAGUGCAUUCAAGAUUUCAUAUACCAAUUAACCUUGAAUGAGGAUUCGUUUUGUUCUAUUACACCAAGUAACGAUGUAGUUGAACUGUUGAGUAAAGCUAGACUUGUCAUAUGGGAUAAAGCCCCAAUGAUGCAUCGUCAUUGUUUCGAAGCAGUUGAUAGGACACUUAGAGACGUUAUCCUUUCAUCGGACAAGAAUAAAAUAUUUGGAGGCAAGACCAUUGUAUUUGGAGGUAACUUUCGACAGAUGCUUCCAGUAAUACAAAGAGGAAAUCAUUCAAAUAUUGUCCAGGCAUCAUUUCAUUCAUCAAGAUAUGGCGUGAAUGUCUAGUUUUAUGUUUGAAUGUAAACACGAGGCUUCAUGUCGGCUAUCGAAAUAAUGAUUUCGAAGAGACAAAAUCAUUUGUUGAAUAGAUUCUUAAAAUUGGUGAAGGUACUAUUGGUGGCCCUAAUGAUUGUGAAGUUGAAGUUGAAUUUUGAGAAGAUGUUAUCGUUCCUUCUAUGGGUGACCAUAUUCAUUCAGUUGUAUCCACCAUUUAUUCAACCUUUCAGAACCAUCUUGAUGAUCCAUCGUAUUUUCAAGAUAAAGCUAUUUUGGUCCCUACAAAUGAAGAAGUCGAUGUUAUCAAUGAGUACAUGUUAGAAUUGAUUAAAGAUUAAGGGAAAACGUAUAUGAAUUCAUAUUCUUUAUGUGAGACUGACGCACAAGAUUCUUUUGAGGAAUCAAUAUACUCUCUAGAUGUGUUGAAUGGUUUUAAGGCUUCUGGAAUUCCCAACCAUAAACUUAUACUAAAAAAGGUGUUCCGGUCAUGUUACUUUGUAAUAUCGACCAAACCAAAGGACUAUCCAAUGGUACUAGAUUACAGAUCGCAAGGAGUCAUCAUUGAAGCCUGAAUCUUAUCUGGAAUAUUUUUCAAUGAGACUACUUAUAUACUUCGCAUGAACUUAACCCCGUCUGAAAAAAAAAAUUCCAUUCCAUUUUCAUCGGAGGCAAUUCCCCAUAGUUGUUUGUUUGCUAUGACCAUUAACAAAAGUCAAGGACAACCAUUAUCAGAUGUUGGAUUAUAUUUGUGUAGACCCAUUUUCACUCAUGGUCAGUUAUAUGUAGUUGUUUCCCGCAUCACAAGUAAAAAAGGUUUGAAGAUACUCAUAUGUGACACAGAUGGUCGUUUAACUAAUAAAACAAAAAAUGUUGUCUACAAAGAGGUCACUCAACGAUUAUAGAUAUUUAUAAAUUUCAGUGUAUCUUCUACAUAUUUCAAUAAUACGAAUAACCAUAAUUUUUUUCUUUAAUCAUUAGACGUUUGUAUGUUUUUUUAUGCGCUCCCCCACAUUUAACGCGAGUUAUAUUCUAGUUUAUAUACAUAUUACAUUUUUUAAGUUUUAGUUUUUUGAAUUUUUAUUUGAUUUAUAAUAAUUUAUACAAGAGUUAAUAGACUUCUUUAAAUUUUAACAAAUGUUUCUUUGACGAAGUUUCACGAAUGGUCCUUAGACGAAGUUUCACAAAAUGAUAGAAAUUGUCCUUAUCCAAAACUAUUUUAACUUAGUGAAUCCAUCUAUCGGACAUCCAUUAGAUGGACCAUUGGUGUGCAAGGUUUGCUCUAGAAGGCCAUUUGUCCAAAAAAGAUUUUAUAGAUAUUAUUUUAGAGAAAAAAAAUGAAAACCAUAAGGACUAUUUGUGAAAUUUUGUCUUUUACAUAGAUCAAUGACAUAUUAUCAACUUUUUGAAAGUUGGACUGACCAUUGUGAAUUUGACCAAAACACAAGGACCAUUACUGCAAUCUACUCUUGGUUUUUGAAGCAAAUAAAUUCAAUUUUCUUUCCUUUCAGAUCAAUCAAUUAAACUAAUUUAAUACCAAAACCAAUCGACCCUAAAUAUAAGUACAUAACAAGUCGAAUUCACCUGAAUUUCUUCUUCUAAAGUAGGCUUAAAAUGAGAUAGAACCAAAAGAGAUGAUCUAUAUGUAUUCGGCUACCCGGAGUGGUAGGGGUAAAGACGUGUGGGAGCUGACGUGUCAGCCCCCUUCACGUGUGAACACCGCCCCAACCUCCGGUGGGUUGGGUGUGAUGUGGAGCUGGAGACGAGAGAAGACGCAUGAGAUGAUUGGUUAUUCCUUUCUUGACCGUUGAAUUGUUACUGUUUGUAAAAAAAUUAAUUAAUUACCAUACCCACUUUUUCUAUAUAUAUCAACCAUUUUUAUCAUUUCAAACACACAAACAUAUUUUCAACACAAACACUUCACUAAAAUAAAUCUCUUUCUUCAUGGAUCCAAACCAAAAUAACCCACCCACCCGAACACCCCAAAUACUCUAAAUGAUCCGUUAGCGAAUAUUGGCUACAUGUAAUUGUUAUCAUCCCCCGUUCAACAAAAACCUCCAUUCACCAAUCUUUCAUACCACCCACACUACUACCACCAACAACAACCACCACAAUUCGUUCAACCCGGAUUUCAAGCCUUUCAACAACAACCUUCUCCGCAAUUUCAAUCCCAAACUUCCCAACGUCAACAAACUUCUCAACCAUCUCAAGUUCCAUUAUCUCAAUCGCAACCCGUAAACCUCGACAACGACGACGACGAUGAACGGGUUCAAGAAACACAACCAAGUCGUAGAAGGCAAAAAAAAUCAAAAGAUCCAACAAAAAAGAAAAAUAUGCAAUGGACCGAGGUGGAGGAGGCAACUUUAGCUAAAGCUGGAUUUUUCAUAUCACAAGACGGGGAUGUCGGCAACGCACAAUCGGUUCAAAGCUUUUGGAAUAGUGUUUUAGACCACUUCCACGCGUUAUUAGGAAGGCAAACGAGUCGGUCAUACGACUCGGUCAAUGCAAAAUUACGUGACCUUCGAGCGGCUUGCACCAAAUUUAAUAGCGUAUUUGACAAUGUUAAAAAUAUGCAUCGAAGUGGUAGCAACGAUUUUAACAUUUUAUCAACCACGUUGUACCAAUACAAAAUUACCAACAAUGGUAAACUGUUUGCCAACCAAAAAGUGUGGGAAGUUUGUCGCAAUGGUCAAAAAUGGGUUUUUUAUCCGGAAACGACGCAUUCGGGAUCUACCACCGGUUCCAACAAAAGGCCGAGAACAUCUGAGUUGGAUAUUGGUGUGAACCUCGACCUAAAUGAUGAGUUCAACGCCACCGAGGGGUAGGGUCCCCGAACGUCCAACUUUGUCGACCACCGGGAAGGGACAAAGCGAGAAAGGGGGCGUCUUCUAGCAGAAAAUCAACUAAUGAGGACGUACCAACGGAGAACAUCGACAAAACUCUAAAUUUUUUAGAAAAAAAUUUUGAUUGAACGGAGGAACAACGUCGAAGACAAUUGGCACUCACCGAUCUUCAAAUUAUAAACACGGUGCCGCAACCGAAUCUCGACCCGGAAAAUUUAAGGGUGUUUUUGAAAAUUCAACAAGAAGUUCUCGACCAAUAUCGCAACUAGAUUCUAUUCUAUGUUUUUUAGUAAUUUAGGUUUAAUUUUCUAGGUCAUUUUUAUGUUUUUUAGUAUUUUAGUUUUCAUUUUUAUGUGUUUUUAUGUUUUUUUUAGUAAUUUAGGUUUAAUUUUCUAUGUUUUAAAUUAUGUAAUGUGGUUUUAAUUAAUAUAAAUUUUUUUAUUAUGUUUUAAAUAAUGUUUUUAUCUAAUUUAAUCAUAAAAAAAGAUAAUUAUGGAAUGGUGACCAUUUCCUAAGUCUAGUGGGUUGGUUGUGAAGGUGACGUGACGCAGAGGUGACACCACUUUUCCCGUGGGUUGGUGGUGACCACUCCCCAGAGCCUUAGUAUAUGUGUUUACUUCACGCACCAGAAGAGAGAAUCUGUAUUUGUUUCCUCAAGAUCCAUGAGGUUUCCCUAUCCAAUUCCUAUAUCUAGCCUUUAAGUUUGAUAAAGUUGAAUAAAACAAAAUUGACAUGUGAAAUAGAACAAUAGAACAUCGACAUUUGCAGGUUUCAAUGUCCGAAAACAAUUUGUUUUUUAGGUUUUAUCUUGAUUUCUUUUUCAGGGAUGAGGUUUAUGUAAUGGAGAAGAAGGCCUUCAAUAUGUCGACUGCAAUUCUCUACAAUGCAUUUGAAAUUGGGCUUGGGUUAUAAUCUCAAACAGUUAUAAUUUUUGGUGUUUUCAUUUUAGCAUCAAAUUGCCCCCUUUCUUUCCCUUGGAUAACUUUUGCCAGUUGUCUGCUGGCUUCUUUAUUUUCAUAAAAAUAUGUUGCCCAUUUUAGAAAAGAAAAAUGUUUAAAACGUGAAUUCUUUAAAGAAUGGGACCAAAAUGAUGGGUCUAAAGUCAAAAAUCCAAACAUCUAAUUGGAAAUAUGGAAAUAUUGGAGCUUUAUAAAACGGCAUCUGGCCAUGGAUAUCGAAGCAUUGGCGAAGUCUCCGCUUCAUACACAUAAAAGAGUCUAAAAUUAAGAGUGUUGUUAAUCUAUAGACUUCUCUUCUUCCCACUCCAAAUACAACCCUAUUCUCAACAUUUGUUCAAUCGCAAGGCAAUGUCGAAUGCCAUUCGAUUCUUUCAACUGUUUAACAAAACCAACAUUCCUUCUGUAGGUCUCGGCACAUGGCAAUCGGAGCCUGGUGUUGUUGGUGAUGCUGUUACUGCUGCUAUUAAGGUUACCCUCCCUCCCUCAUAGUUGUUCUUACUCUCUGUUGAUUCGUAUCAUGUAAUGAAAAAAAUCACUUUCAUUAAUGAUCGUAUAUUCUGUUCACGUUUUGUUUUCUAACAUGUGUUUGUCGCCCCUUUACUGAUGGAUUUUGAGCACUACAUCAAUCCAAUGGUGUACAUGCAAACCCUAAAGCUUUGGAUCUAGUUUGUGUAAUGAACAUGCAAUAAUCAUCCAUAGCUCAUAAACCCUAGAUCUAGCAUAUAAUAAUCAAUACUAUAUUAAUAAAAGGGUUUAGAUCUUACCUUGAUUGUUAUGUAGCAAUAACAAUCUCAACUCCUCUUGAUCUUGACUUCUGCAAGCUUAGUGCCUCAAAUGUUGCACCUCUAAUGGAGUCACAAACAUCAUAAGAAACAAGAUGAACAAGGAGAGAGGGAAGAGGCUCCAAAAACGUCCUAGGGUUCUCUUAGAAGUGUUAGCCACGUUUUUGGGAGCCUUAGGGGUCCUUUUAUACUUGUGUGGGCUACUAGGGUUUCAGGUGAAACCCUAAUUCUCUGCUUAGGCCUUAAGCAACCCAUGGAGUCCCUCUUGAAAGCCCUUGGAUGAAAAUCAUAUGGGCUUCUCAUAGAUUUCGUCAAAUCCCCCUUCCAUUAGGAAUCCAUAGCCCAAUCGCAACUAUCAUAUAAUUGCAAUAUGAGUCCCCUUUAUUUAAUUAAUCUCUUUUAGCCACAAAAUUAAUUUUUGACUAAUAUUAAUUAAAUAAUAUGAUUUCUCUUUAAAUAUAUUAUUCAUAUAAUAUAUUAUUAAAUCAUAAUUAAUCCUUUUUCUCCUUAAUUCAUCCUAUCAGUUGCUAUGGUGAAGGCAACCCAAAAGGACUAUGCUCAUAAUCAGGUCAAGUACAUACCAAAAUAGUUAUGGGCUUAGACAUAUAAUCCAACAUUUACGUCAUUACAACGAAUACAUUUAGCACAAUUUAAUAAAGUUAACCGGGUCAGUAAGGGUUUCGACUUCAGAUCUUCAAAUUCAAAUUUAGCUAUCAACCAAUUAGCAAUCGAUACCUAAAAUUGGCGACAUGAUGCACACAUUUCCGUGUUUUAUGAAGUCAUUUCUUAUGAGAGGAUUAGUAAUUCUCUUACAAACUUAAUCAUGUAUGUCAUCCAUGACAUGUAAGAAUUUUAUGCUUUCUUUAGUUUACAAUUUAGGAUCCCCCAAUACCAUUUCUUCUUCAAGUCAUCUAAUAUGUACUAAUAUGAUAUAUUCAGCUAAUAUUACCACAUUGAACUCUAACCUGUACUGCAUUGUACCAUUAAAGUCCUGAAGAAUCAACAUUUGUCUUAACUUUUAGUUACUCUGUCUUAUAAAUAAUGUUUCAUAUGCAUGUAGAUGGGGUAUCGUCACAUUGAUUGUGCUCAAAUUUAUGGCAACGAAAGGGAGGUACACAAUUACUAACUUUUGUUUAUUGAAUUUUCUUGUUCUCUGGUUGAUAAUUCUAUAAAAUGUCAAUGUAUAGAUUGUUAAAUUUAUUUCUUGCAGAUUGGUUUCAUGUAAAUUUAUUUAUUUCAGAUUGGUUUAGCUUUGAAAAAGCUCUUUCAAGAUGAUGUGGUGAAACGAGAAGAUUUAUGGAUCACCUCUAAGCUCUGGUUUGCCACAUUCCAUGGAAUCUACAUUCUUCUCAUAUCAUAACAUGUUUCCACACACACACACACACACGCACAGAUCCUUCCAAGUUUCAGUUAACAAUCUAUAAUGAUUCGCAGGUGUUCUGAUCAUGCACCAGAAGAUGUACCGGUUGCAUUAGACAGAACUCUGAAUGAUUUGCAGCUUGACUAUAUCGACUUAUACCUUGUAAUUAUGCAUUACAUAAAAAAUUUGUAUAUCUUUUUAUAUAUAUGAUUGAUUCGACCAAUGAUUUUUUUUAUUUAUCUUGAAGAUACAUUGGCCUGUUAGGAUGAAGAAGGGAUCAAUUGAGCCUAAGCCGGAGAAUCUUGCUCCAGUAGAUAUUCCAAACACAUGGAAAGCAAUGGAGAAACUUUAUGACUCUGGGAAGGUGAAAGCAAUUGGUGUUAGCAAUUUUUCCACCAAGAAAUUGGGUGAUUUGUUGGAUGUUGCACGUGUUCCACCUGCUGUCAACCAGGUGGAAUGUCAUCCCUCAUGGAAGCAAACAAAACUAAGAGACUUUUGCAAAUCCAAAGGCGUUCACUUAUCUGUGAGUUAACACAUUACUAUAAUAAACAAAAACAUCGAUUUUCAAAAAAUAACCAAAAAUAUAUAUAUAUUUUAAUAAUUGACGUACGAUAUGAUUCCUAUAAAUUUUGCAGGGAUAUUCGCCACUUGGUUCUCCGGGGACCUCGUACAUUAAAAGUGAUUUACUCAAGCAACCGAUUCUUAUAACAGUAGCAGAAAAAUUACACAAGACACCUGCUCAGGUUGCUCUACGUUGGGGUCUACAGAUGGGUCAUAGCAUACUUCCCAAAAGUACAAGUGAAUCCCGGAUCAAAGAAAAUUUUGACGUUUUUGACUGGUCAAUUCCUGAUGAUUUGUUCACUAAGAUCUCUUCUGAUAUCGAG
rnacentral:lncRNA from 1 species